GCCCUGCCAACCCGUACGAACUCGUGAAAGAAGAAAAGUAUUGGCGAAGUCACCGACUUGAAAGUAAAGUACGAGAAAAUAGUAGGUUGUUGUAUUGAUUGAUGUGUUGUUUACAGAUCUCUAAAGAUGGCUAUUUAUAGCCUGUUACAAUGAAUUUCCUUACCGACUAGGAUCUAUCUCUAAUUUUAAAUGAAAAAUGAAUAUUUUCAAGUACAACUCGUAUCGGAGUUGGUUAUUGUACUUCCAUGGGCCAAUCCCCCUUCAUCUUCUCUUUCUGCUCCACUUUAAGCUCAUAUUGGCCCAAUUACUCCAGCCUUUCAAUCGGCCAAUCUCUACCAACUCUAUCCACCAGAACACUGCAGCGCCAAUCGGUCGAUCUCCAACUGUAGCACCAAUCGGCCGAUUCCCAAUCGUGACCUUUUAACUUGCCGUAUCGACCAAUCCUUUCCUCCUUGACGCCGAUUCCAUAUGUGUCAAAAUCUGGCGUCAACACAUGCCCCCCAGUUUUGGAGUAAAACAUAAUCUUUUACUUCGAAAUUCUUUUCAACUUCUCCUCCGAAACAAAUGCAUUAAAAAUAUCCUUCCGUUUCGCGGUCUUCUACCUGCUGAUUGGAAUCUUUUCGAAACGGGCGCCUGAGACAACCACUCCCCCGAAAUUCGGGUAGACGGCGCGGUAAAAAUCCCGCCUUUACCCCUUCUCGGACCAUCCUUAAAUAUUGGCACGUUCCGCACUUCCUCUUCACAAGCCAGUAACUUCCUUUCUUGGCGCACUAGUUUCCAUCUCCCUCCAGCGCCCCUUUGGCUUCCAAUCACAUCCUCCGGCGACCCGCUUUUCAUCCACAUUCCACACCAUCUCCCCAAUGGCGGCUCUGUCAGGAACUUCACCAGCAACAGAGACCCCGGUGGCGGCUCCGGCGGCGGCGGCAGUAGCUCCAUCGGCGAUAGAGGUUCCACCAACGGCUUCGGCGGUGGCAGCUCCACCAGCAGCCCCGUCAGUGAUGAUGACUUUCAUCCUGGAGGUAUUUACCCGGAACUUUUAUUUUUACCUUUAUCGUCCAGGCAUUUGUUUUAGAUCCAUUCUUAGUUCGUCCCUUUUUACCUUUUUUAGGCGGUUAGACACCAAAUCACUAUUUGCCUUACCGAAGCUCCCGAUCUCAUUGCCUAGGCCCUAUGGGAAACCCAGACCCAACUGAUUUAAUCAACUUGGAAACCCAUAGGAUUCCGUUUAAGCAAUCGACCAUGGAUUUGGAUCAUUGGUCAGGCACUUUCAGAUCGUGGCCGAAUGAAACUCCCGGCUGGAAAGAGUGGUACCAAAGGAUAGCCAACUCUAAGAGAGUUCAAUGGGAUGAGCGAAACAUCAGCCAGUGCAUCAAUCUAUCUCUGUCCCAGAUGGAGAGGAAUGAACCCUUAGUGAUAGCAGCCUCCUAUUUUUGGUCCGACGCUCUCAACGCGUUUGUUUUCGGACAUGCGCCCAUGACCCCCACUCUGGCCGAUGUUGUAAUGUUGACCGGCCUUGACAUCUCCUCCCCUAAUACCCCCUUCCGUUAUUUGGUCAAGCCGACCUAUCAACUAGAGACAAAAGGAAUCGGCGGGUGGAAGGGGUUCAUCAAAAACAACAUGAAGACCGGGACAGUUACAGAGAGGGAAUAUGCAGCCUUCUUGAUGAUGUGGCUUGAAAAACACCUUUUGUAUGGCAGAGCAGCCGGCCCUUCCUCCAAUACACAGGCUCUAGCCGAAGCAUGAUCACUAGGAGCCUCCGUCUCCCUUGGGAAACAUCUGCUAGGAUCGUCCUAUCACAUGCUGCAUCAAAUCAGCGUCAAACUAUCAAAGGGAGAGCCGAUUGGAAAUCCGGGUGGCCCCUGGUGGUUCAUCAAUCUGUGGCUCAAUUUAUAUAUGAGUAAGAUCUCAUAGCAACGGGUGGAGCACAUGACUUUCCAAAAUAUUGAGUCAGAAGAAAACCCCACCGUACGGCGUCGAUGCACCUCCUUUGGUGAAGCAGCAUCAGCCUUCUCUGGUUGCCAGCUCACCGCCACCAAGGUAGCCGAAUACUUCAGAUGCUUUUACAACGGCUUCAGUGAGGAGACCACCAGCUGGUUCCCGUACCAGAGAUCAGAACCACUCUUCGAGCUCCCCUCUUGUUAUGACUCGACAACCAACACUUUUGAUGAUGACCUCACAGAUGAUCUGAUUAAGCUAGAGAUCUUAUCGGUGAAUUUCUUCUCGGGGAAGGAUGCCCCUACUUAUGAGUUUUACAACCCAUCUAUUGCAGCACGUCAGUUCAGCUUGGGUCAGCUGCCGAUUUAUGCUUUCUUCGCCGGUCGUGAAAAAUUUCGGGACAAGCUCACCAAAGGUCUUGAUUACAGUCGGCUGUACGACCAGGUGCCUGACUCCAGCACCAUUGAUCUGACCAAUUGGAUAGUGGCCCCUUUUGCUGUCCAACAGUCCAAACUAUGGUGGGCAGAAUGGAAACAACAUCUCUUCUGUGCAUCUCCGGCGAUAUAUUGCAACACCCUGGAUCCUGACAACAUUGACCCGAACGCAGAGGUACCAUUUUUUCCCUCAGCCGAUUUCGACGCCUUUUCCUUUUUAUACCACUAACUCUUAUUUCUUUUACAGUCCGAGAGUCGACUCCCUCCAAGACGCAGCCGGAGUGGUAGGCCGAUAGAGAAUUGUUAUCCGUAUACGAAGUUCCCGCUCAUCGGCUACCACGCCCCAUCCAUCGAUGACAUCACCACCGGCCGAUUGAAGCAGACGCCGAAGAAAGCCGUAAAGAAGACGAGCCGCCGAGUGCGCGCCCGGACGGAAUCGGCUGAUCCUUCCGCGACGGCAUCGGUGGAAUCUUUGGCCGCGCCGAUUGUCCCGGUCAUCGAGGAGGUUGACCCCCAAGCUGCUACAGAAGCUGGAGCGGCCGCUACAUCACUGCUACUAGAAGCCCUUCAGGUAACCUUGUGUUCAUGCCCUCUUGAGUAUUCUCCCGAUACUGACUUCUUCUUUAUAUUAGGCCGCACAAGUUGCCCUAGUGCCCUUGCAGCAAUCGGCGACGCCCCAAGCAGAAAUCAAAGCACCAGUACUUCCUCCCACUGAGGUACAGAAUCCCUUAACUCAAUUCUUUGAUACUUAAUCAAAAGCUUGACCGAUCCUAAUGUAGGCUCUCGGCACGUCAACUGUAUCUUCUCAACAGCCAUCGACCAGGGAAGCUUUCCAAGAGGCUGGUCCGAGCAGGAUGCUAAUAAUCGUUGAAUCCUCCUCCUAUGAUGAGCCGGUCACACCAGUUCCUAAACCAAGGGUAGCACUCCCGCAGGCGCAAGUAGAAGAAAUCCGCCUCAAAGAAGUAAGAGAUUUGUCACGCGAAUUGGCCGAUUUCCUAUUACCAUCGGCUAAUCCAUUUUUCCAUUUUUAUUCUUUUGCAGGAACAGGAUACUCCCAAUAACAGUCUCUUCUCUUUUGCGGUUGCGCUUUCUGAUGAUGAGGAGGUCGCUUCACGUCAAGUUACCCUGAGCUCAGUCCCUAAUGAUGUCCGUGCCAAACUUGAGAGCAUACGGACCCUCCUCCAAGAAGAUAUCGGCCGAUUGGUAGAGGACGCCUCGCCGAUUCGGCAGCUCUUCAGUGAUAUCAGUGGCCGAGUCCCAUAAGAGGUGGAAGAAGCUCUGGCGCCCGCCGCAUACAUUGAAUCAAUGCGGAUCCCCAUAUUCAGAGCCUUGCGUCAUAUGGCCGAUCGUGCUAAUCUGGCUAAAGCUUGUGAGGAGGAAGACUCUUACAAGCAUCGAGCCCAAGAGGUACAUCACUGGAUCCACUUCCUUGAAAAUGCCCGUCCAGGUAUUGUUGGUGCUACAGAUCGCCUCAAGCGCCGGAGGGCGUAACUUGCCAAGGAGAUGGAGCAGGUGACCAAAGACUUAGUCAUUGAAGAGAAGAAACUCCAAGACCUCCCCUCUGUCAUCGCCGAUCUGAAGCAAGAGAGGCAACACCUGGCCCAUGAGGCAAUCAGACUUCAUCGCCACAUGCCAGAAGUCCCAGGAUCGGCGGAUGACGACCAGCGAGUUUUAGACUCGGCCGAUCAAGUUAGGCAGCGAGCGAUUGCGGCCAUGAAUGCCCUUCUGGGAUGAACUGUAAAAGUACUGGCCGCUCUAUAAAACAUCAAAGUUUUUCGAUCAUUUGAUGUAUGAAUCCAAUUCUGAUCCGUCCUUUGUGGCGGCCUUUAAUUUAUUACUCCAUUUACUCCGAUGGGACGUGUCUUACCAAACUCUCGCCCGUUUUCUUCCUAUAAGUAUGAGACCCCGUAUUGUUUCCAAGGGCACUUGCCUCACUCGUCCUCUUCUCCUCUAGUAGUUUAUACCAGCGGACUAUUACCAAGAUGUCCUCUUCAUCUUCUUCCUUCUCCUUCUCCUCUGUCAACCAGGUACGAUAUCUUUCCUUCACCCUCUAUUUCCUGACUUGACAUUUUGAUCAGCCUGACGUCGAGAGGUUAUUUGUCAAUUUUCAGCCGAGAUGCCUUAGCCCCGAAUUGGAACGAGCAAUCGAGAUCAUGCACUCUGACGAACCCUUGUCACAAGAGGACAGGGAUUUGAUCAGAGCCCACCGCGAGGAACUCAGGGACCACAUCCCGGCCGAAGUUCAGAGGAUCUGGGAUCACAUCGACGCCAACUGCUCCAGGUAGCCACCAAUCGAAAGGAGUCAUCCACUCCCUAGUCCAGUCGCCCUUGAAGACACCGUUGCGGGAACGUCUCGACCACCGCUGGAUCGGAGCCACCCUCUUCCACGCCAGAUUGAGGCUGAAGCCGCGAUGAAGGAUGUGGAGGAAAGGAGCACCCACCUCCUGAUAGAAUUAGAUCGGGUAGAGAAGGAUCUUAAGAAAAAACGCGGUUAACAGAUGUGUUGGUAUUUUUUGUUCUAAGGGCGACCUGUACCGUGUCGGCCAUGUACCCUAUCGUUCGUACCGAAUAAUAAAUUGGCCGAGUUGAACGAAUAUCUUUUUCUUGAGGCGAUUUUGUUUUUGCAUCGGCUACACGAUUUAUCAGGAGCUGGCCGUGUCAUCUUGAUAUGCUCUGCAACCACUUAUGCAUCGACCCAUAUACUAUGAUAGUAUCUUUUCAGGUACCUCCCGUUCAAGGCUCUUGUGAAUUCUUCUCCCUCGAUCGUCUCCAGAAUGUAUGCAUUUCCCGGAGCGCAUCGGCCGAUUUUAUACGGCCCUUCCCAAGUGGGCGACCAUUUACCGAACUUGGGAUCUUUAGACCCUAUCGGCAACACCAACUGUUGGGAUACGAGGUAGGCUACACUAGCGCAAAUCAAAUUUUUUCUACCGCGUAAACCAGGAAAACUGUCGUAUAAGGAUCAUGAGAUUACCACUCGAUGCAUUGGUGCAGAAGAUGUAGAUUCGCGUCGAUGCAGCGAAGUCGAUCAGCGUAGUCGUACGUAGUCGAUCAGCGUAGUCGUACGUAGUCGAUCACGUCGAUGUCCAGCAGCUCCUCAGCAGCUCGUCCACGUGCAGCAAGAUCGCGCUCGUACCGCGGCUCGUCGUCGGCUCAUCCAAGUGCUGCAGGCGCAACACCUCCAAGGUAUCCACAUGUGUAGGGAGGAAGCGUCGCAAGCCGGACUGCUAGGUCUGUGAGUUGCAACAAGCGAGGGCGUGGGAGGCGCAGUAGAUGUGCUUCACCAAAAGGGUGUAAACCCUAGGGCGCCCCCACAUGAACUCCGACUAGGGAGUCCGGCUUGUGAAACAUAGUCAUCAACUAAUACAUGUGCUAGUCUAAUAUUCAUGUGUGUCCUCACAUGAACUCCGACUAGGGACAACUUUAGAAUAACCAUACAAGUAAAGAGUUUCACAUACAAUUCACAUAAUUGCAAAUCAAUUCAAGUAGCCUUUAAUGGAUAUUCGAGGAACACAAUAUAAAUCAUGGAUACAAAUGGAAUAUCAUCAUCUCUAUGAUUGCCUUUAGGGCAUACCUCCAACAGUCUCCCACUUGCACUAGAGCAAUCUAGAAGGUGCCUAAUACCCAUAGCUCUUACAUGCGCAUCAUGCUUAGCCUGCGGGAGUGGUUUUGUCAACGGAUCAGAAAUGUUCAGAUCCAUGUGUAUUUUGCAUAUCUUGAUCUCACCCCGGUUAACGAAGUCUCGAAUGAGAUGAAAUCGCCGCAUUACAUGUUUGUUCUUCUGGUGGUUCCAUGGCUCCUUUGCUUGCGCAAUUGCCCCAUUGUUAUUACAGUAGAGAUUCAAUGGGCUGGACGCAUUCGGGAAGACACCAAGCUCAAUGAGGAAAUUCCUUAUCCAAACAUCCUCCUUCGCGGCUUCCGAAGCCGUGAUGUACUCAGCUUCUGUCGUAGAAUCGGCCACCGUCUCCUGCUUGGAACUCUUCCAACUAGCAGCACCACCAUUUAGCGUGAACACAAAUCCUGAUUGUGACUUUGAAUCAUCUCUGUUGGUUUGGAAACUAGCAUCGGUGUAAUCCGUUACAACGAGCUCCUCCUCACCUCCAUAGACAAGAAACAUAUCUUUAGUCCUUGUCAAGUACUUAAGAAUGUUUUUCACCGCUGUCCAGUGACUCUCACCUGGAUCAGACUGGUGUCUGCUUGUUUGCCUCUUCCAUGCUGAACUGCUUCAACACUUUGUCAAUGUAAGAAUCUUGGCUUAAUCCUAUAAGCCUUCUCGAUCUAUCUCUAUAGAUCUUAAUGCCCAGAAUAUAUGCCGCUUCCCCUAAGUCCUUCAUCGAAAAACUAUUUUUCAGUGAAGUCUUUACGGACUCAAGCAUACGAAUGUUAUUUCCAAUCAGCAGUAUGUCAUCCACAUAUAAGAUUAAACACAAGACUCUUCUUCAUUCUUGGUGAAGUCAAACCCUUUGACCACUUCAUCAAAAUGAAUGCUUGCUUCAAUCCAUAAAUGGAUCUCUGAAGCUUGCAUACCUUUCCAGCAUUUUUCGGAUCGACAAAACCCUCAGGCUGUAUCAGAUACACAUCCUUAGGUAGGUUUCCAUUUAGGAAAGCUGUCUUGACAUCCAUCUGCCAUAUCUCAUAAUCGAAAUAUGCAGCUAUAGCUAGAAUAAUCCGAAUGGACUUAAGCAUCACUACGGGCGAGAAGGUCUCGUCGUAGUCAACUCCUUAAACUUGUCAAAAACCUAUUGCGACAAGUCGUGCUUUAUAGAUAUGAACAUUUCCAUCCAUGUCCUUUUUCUUCUUAUAGAUCCACUUGCACUCUAUGGCUUUAACACCAUCAGGCGGGUCAACCAAGUUCCAAACUUGAUUGUCUCCCAUGGACUCUAUUUCGGACUGCAUGACACUCUGCCAUUUAUCAGAGUCUGGGUCCAUCAUUGCUUCUGCAUAUGUUGCAGGCUCUUCAUUGUCCUGUUGGAGGUAUGCCCUAGAGGCAAUCAUAGAGAUGAUGAUAUUCCAUUUGUAUCCAUGAUUUGUAUAUUGUGUUCAUUGAAUAUCCAUUAAAGGCUACUUGAAUUGAUUUGUAUGUGAAUUGUAUGUGAAACUCUUUACUUGUAUUGUUAUUCUAAAGUUGUCCCUAGUCGGAGUUCAUGUGAGGACACACAUGAAUAUUAGACUAGCACAUGUAUUAGUUGAUGACUAUGUUUCACAAGUCAUGGACAUGGAGAUGUUGAACUAAUAAUGUGGACACCUGUGAAGACAUGUGCUAGGACUGAUCCAAUACGAGAAGUAGUUCUCUCUUUAAACAACAUAUACGCUUUGUCCUUAGACCUGAGAUUGUCGCAUGUAUUCAAGAUGUGGAUCGACCUACUUAGGGGCUAUCAAACACUACGCCGUAACAGGGUAGUUAUAAAGGUAGCUUUCGGGUUUGUCAAGAAGCAUGCUAUAAGACAUGGUCAAUCAAGAUGGGAUUUGCCCCUCUCUGAUUGAGAGUGAUAUCUUUGGGCCCCUCGAGUGAUCGGAUCCGAAAAUGCAUUGGCCAUGCUACGUACGGUUAAGAGUUAACCUACAAAGGGAAUCCGAAUCACAGGAUCGAGAAAGAGCGGUCGGCUUGAAGCUAGACCAAAUAUCGUGAGGCAAAGGGAAUAGCAUGUAUAUUAUAUUGUGAUGGUUCGUCUGAUAUGAUCUUCGUGUGCGUAUAGGAGUUGGCACGUCUCGCUAGAGGCCGCUACCGACUAUUGGGUCAAGUAGGAGUACUCAGGCCAUGUCUAUACGUAUCCGAACCCAUAGGGUCACACACUUAAGGGGUUGGAAGCCCAAUUCGGAUCUGAUCCGAGUUGGAUUAGGUUUAGAAGUACUAAUGGGCCUCGGACCCAGAGGCCCAUCAGGAACCUCUAUAAAUAGAGGGGUGGGGGCGCCCUAGGGUUUACACCUUUUGGCGAAACACAUCUGCCGCGCCUCCCACACCCUCGCCUGUUGCAACUCGCGGAUCUAGCAGUCCAGCUUGCGACACUUCCUCCCUGCACGUGUGGAUACCUUGGAGGUGUUGCGCCUGCAGCACUUGGACGAGCCGCCGACGAGCCACGACGAGCCGACGACGAGCCGCAGCACGAGGGCGAUCUUGCUGCACGUGGAUGAGCUGCUGAGGAGCUGCUGGACGUUGAUGUGAUCGACUACGUACGACUAUGUUGAUCGACUACGUACGACUACGUUGAUCGUCUUCGCUGCAUCGACGCAAAUCUACAUCUUCCGCACCAGUAGUGCGUUGAGUGGUAAUCCCAUGAUCCAUUUAUACGACAGUUCUUCCUGAUUUUACGCGGUAGAAAUUUUGAUUUGCGCUAGUGUAGCCUAGCUCGUAUCCCAACCGUGGUAUCAGAGCUGUAGCUGUUUAGUUUUGGAUUCGGGAUGUGUGCAUAUGGAGAUAUGCGAGUUUUCAGUUUGAUCUAUGUCCUGGUUUCGUGUUCUUGCUGCAAUGGUAGUGUAACGACAUACUCCUACCGGUCGGUUUCCGCCAUCCUAGUUAAGUGAUACACGUAAUUCCAGUUGUAGUGAGUGAAGAUCAAUAUGAUUGGUCGAAUUGAAAUCCAGGGUCAUACGCCAGACGCAUUAGAUGUGCAAUAGUAGAUGAGAUCUACUGCCGGGGUCGGGAUUUUGCCGUAUGCGUAUGCUUCGGUAAAUCAGCCGUAACUUUUCGGUAUGAUCUCGGAUCGGGGCGAAUUUUAUAUGAAAAUUGAUCUACAGAAAAAGUUACACAUUAAAUUCAACCGCUUUGCCAUUUUUGGCGAAAUUAGAUUUCGCAAAUUUGUCUUGGAAGAUAGAGUUUCAAGCAUCCGAAGUUUGGAACGUUAGGACGCUUAACUCUAUUUUGCAGGAUGUAUGUAUCUUGUGAUCAGUAUGGCCCUUUGUGGAUGUGAUGCAUGUGUGUAACUCAUUCGUGACCUGCGUGUCGCGCGUACGGCAACACGGCAGGAGCCAUAUGUGUUGUCACUUUAUUGUAUUUAAUGGUCGGCAUACCAAUCUGUGAUGAUCCAAGCAACUAUGUAAUCUUCAUUACUAGCUUCUUUACUAGCUAUUAGGCUUAAUAGCAUGUUCUAGUUCUUGGAGGACUCAUCACCAGGAGGAUGGCGCACAUGGAACAUGGAGAUGGAGAUCACCGUGGUGAACAGGUUCUAUGGAGAUGGAGAUCACCAUAUGAAAACGGGCCAUACUGUGUCACAACUGUGUGAAUGCUAUUCUGUUUAUGUUUUACUUUCUGCAUGCUGUGAUGUUAGAAGUAGAACGAUCCCUCACAAAGUUUAAGUUAGUAUGCCCUCCCAACUAAAACUUGCACCGUCCCAUAUCUUGUACAAUUAGUGGUGGGUCUAUGAAAUUAGGGUGCCACUAGUUUUCCUUGAUUAGAUGGGUUUGUGUCGGACACUUACACGCAUAAGGGUUGGUUUGCUUAACAAGGUUAUCUUAAUGGUUAAGGACCUUGGGGCAUAAAGGUUGGGCGCCGAGACAUGGAGAUGUCACCCAACAACAGGAGUCAUAUGUGAUAUGAUUAGCAAAAGUUGCUUACCGAUCUACCUUGUUUGCUAGCGGUGAUGCUAAAGCUCACUAGUAGACUCGUUAGUUGUGGAUCCUGAAUCACUAAGUAUCAAUAGAGGGAUAUUGAUUUUAGUGGGAGUAGAUUCUGUUAAAAUAGUUUAAUGUGAUUUGCUCUAUCAUGGAUACGUUUGUCUUAGUGUAUUUUGCAUUACUUUUGUUGUAGAUUAAAUGGCACCUAGCAACACCACCUCAUCGUUUGCUUUGCGUUCGGUCCUUGAGAAGGACAAGUUGAAUGGAACAAACUACUCGGAUUGGAUCCGUAACCUGAGAAUUGUUCUCAGGGCCGAUAAAAAGGAAGAUGUUCUAGACACCCCACUACCACCAGUACCUGCUCAUGAUGCAUCUGCUGCCGUUAAGGCUGCUUACAAGAAGGCAUUUGAUGCUAAUCUUGAGGUAAGCUGCCUUAUGCUUGCUUGCAUGGAACCCGAGCUGUAGAUGCAGUUCGAAACGAAUCAUGAGGCACACGAUAUGAUCGUGGCGUUCAAGGACAUGUUCCAGACCCAGACUAGGACUGAAAGGUUCAAUGUGUCCAAAGCCUUUCUGGAGUGAAAGCUAGCAGAAGGCGCAGCAGUAGGACCACAUGUAAUCAAGAUGGUUGGUUACACUCAGCGAUUGGAGAAGCUGGGCUUCCCAAUGGGCAAAGAGUUGGCCACUGACUUCAUUCUUUCAUCUCUUCCACCUAGCUAUGGGAACUUCAUCUCAAACUACCAUAUGCAUGGGACAGAGAAGGGUCUGAAUGAACUGUGUGGUAUGCUCAAGACAGCAGAGGUAGACAUCAAGAAAAGCGCUAGUACCAGCCAUGUGAUGGCUAUACAGAACAAGCCUAGCUUUAAGAAGAAGGGCAAUUCUUGGAAGAAGAAGGGUAAGGCUGGAACGUCCAAGCCAAACCCAGUGCCCAAGGUUAAAGCUGGACCUGGACCUGGACAUGCUCCAGACAAAGAGUGCUUUUACUGUCAUGAACUUGGUCACUGGAAGAGAAACUGCAAGCAGUACCUAGCUUCGUUGAAGAAUGGCGGAAGUAAGAGUACUUCUACCUCAGGUACGCUUGUUGUUAAUGUUAUAGACAACAUUUUUCUCGCUGAUACAAUUAUUAAUUCUUGGGUAUUUGAUACCGGAUCGGUUGCUCAUAUUUACAAUUCGAUGCAGGGAAUGAUAAGAAGUAGAAGCGUGGAAAGAAGAGAAGUUGAUUUCCGCGUGGGCAAUAAUGCAAGAGUUGCUGCGUUGACCGUCGGGACGAUGCAACUCCACCUCCCGUCAUGAUUUAUUAUGGAGUUGAAUAAUUGUUAUUUCGUUCCUAGUUUAAGUCGAAACAUUUUGUCUCCUUCAUGCUUGAUGAAGGAUGGUUAUUCAUUUGUGAGUGAAAACAAUGGUUGUGUGAUCUCUAAGAAUGAUAUGUUUAUGGCUUUUGCACCCAUUGUGAGUGGAUUAUUUGUUUUAAAUCUUGAUGGUUCACCUGUCUGUAACGUAAGUGCUAAAAGGCCUCGGCCUAAUGAUUUGAGUCCUACCUACUUGUGGCAUUGUCGUUUGGGUCAUAUAAGUGAAAAGCGCAUGAAGAAGCUCCAUUCUGAUGGACUUCUAACUUCGUUUGAUUUUGAAUCAUACGAGACAUGUGAGGCUUGCUUGCUAGGCAAGAUGACCAAGACGCCUUUCACAGGAUUUCCUGAGAGAGCGGUAGACUUGUUAGAACUCGUACAUAGUGAUGUAUGCAGACCAAUGAGCACGACGGCUAGAGGAGGAUUCCAAUACUUCAUAACUUUCACUGAUGAUUUUAGUAGAUAUGGCUAUGUCUACUUGAUGAGGCACAAGUCUGAAACCUUUGAAAAGUUCAAGGAAUUUCAGAAUGAAGUUGAAAAUCAGCGUGGCAAGAAAAUUAAGGCCUUACGAUCUGAUCAUGGAGGCGAGCAUUUGAGCCACGAGUUUAGCAAUCAUCUAAAGAGUUGCGGAAUUGUUCCACAACUUACGCCGCCUGGAACACCUUAGAGAAACAGUGUAUCCGAGCAAUGUAAUCGAACUUUGUUAGACAUGGUUCGAUCAAUGAUGAGCCAGUCAGACCUACUGUUGUCAUUUUAGGGAUACGCUCUAGAAACAGUAGCUUUCACACUUAAUAGGGUACCAUCUAAAUCCGUAGUUAAGACACCAUAUGAGAUAUGGACUGGAAAGGUUCCUAGUUUGUCUUUUCUAAAGAUUUGGGGAUGUGAAGUAUUUGUCAAGCGACUUCAGUCGGACAAGAUCACACCCAAGUCGGAUAAGUGCAUUUUCGUGGGAUAUCCAAAGGAAACUUUGGGAUAUUAUUUCUACAACCGGUCAGAGGGUAAAGUGUUUGUUGCUCGGAACGAGGUUUUCCUAGAGAAAGAGUUUCUCAAAGGAGAAAAGAGUGGAAAGACAGUGCAUCUUGAAGAAGUUCAAGAUGAGCUGAUCGGGCAAGAAUCAAUGAGUGAUGCUAACGUAGCAGAACAAGUUGAGAUACCCAUGGCAAGAGAAGCACCGCCACAACCACGAAGGUCGGCAAGGCUCCGCGAAAUGUGAGAAAUAUUAUUGUUGGACAAUGAUGAGCCUGCGACAUAUGCAGAAGCAAUGAUGGACCCAGACUCCAAAAAAUGGCAGAGUGCCAUGCAAUCCGAAAUAGAGUCCAUGGGACACAAUCAAGUUUGGAACUUGGUUGACCCGCCUGAUGGUGUUAAAGCCAUAGAGUGCAAGAGGAUCUAUAAGAAGAAAAAGGACAUGGAUGAAAAUGUUCACAUCUAUAAAGCAUGACUUGUCACAAAAGGUUUUCGACAAGUUCAAGGAGUUGACUACAACGAGACCUUCUCGCCCGUAGUGAUGCUUAAGUCCAUUCGGAUUAUUCUAGCUAUAGCUGCAUAUUUCGAUUAUGAGAUAUGGCAGAUGGAUGUCAAGACAACUUUCCUGAAUGGAAACCUAGCUGAGGACGUGUAUAUGAUAUAGCCCGAGGGUUUUGUCGAUCCGAAAAAUGCUGGAAAGGUAUGCAAGCUUCAGAGAUCCAUUUAAGGAUUGAAGCAAGCAUCUAGGAGUUGGAACAUUCAUUUUGAUGAAGUGGUCAAAGGGUUUGACUUCACCAAGAACGAAGAAGAGUCUUGUGUUUACAAGAAGGUUAGUGGGAGCUCUAUAGUAUUUCUAAUCUUAUAUGUUGAUGACAUAUUACUGAUUGGAAAUAACAUUCCUAUGCUUGAGUCCGUAAAGACUUCACUGAAAAAUAGUUUUUCGAUGAAGGCUUAUAGGUUUAAGCCAAGAUACUUACAUUGAUAAAGUGUUGAAGCGGUUCAGCAUGGAAGAGGCAAAGAAAGGGUUCUUGCCUAUGUCACAUGGCAUACAUCUCAGCAAGACUCAGUGUCCUUCGACUGCUGAUGAGCGGGAUCGCAUGAGUAGAGUGCCAUAUGCCUCAGCUAUUGGAUCUAUCAUGUAUGCAAUGAUAAGUACUCGCCCAGAUGUUUCAUAUGCGCUAAGUAUGACAAGCAGACACCAGUCUGAUCCAGGUGAGAGUCACUGGACAGCGGUGAAAAACAUUCUUAAGUACUUGAGAAGGACUAAAGAUAUGUUCCUCGUCUAUGGAGGUGAGGAGGAGCUUGUUGUAACAGGUUACACCGAUGCUAGUUUCCAAACCGACAGAGAUGAUUCAAAGUCACAAUCAGGAUUUGUGUUCACGCUAAAUGGUGGUGCUGUCAGUUGGAAGAGUUCCAAAUAGGAGACGGUGGUCGAUUCUACGACAGAAGCCGAGUACAUUGUGGAUUCGGAAGCCGCGAAGGAAGGUGUUUGGAUAAGGAAUUUCCUCAUUGAGCUUGGUGUGUUCCCGAAUGCGUCCAGCCCAUUGAAUCUCUACUGUGAUAAUAAUGGGGCAAUUACGCAAGCAAAGGAGCCAAGGAACCACCAGAAGAACAAACACGUAAUGCGGCGAUUUCAUCUCAUUCGUGACUUCGUUAACCGGGGUGAGAUCAAGAUAUGCAAAAUACACACGGAUCUGAACAUUUCUGAUCUGUUGACAAAACCACUCCCGCAGGCUAAGCAUGAUGCGCAUGUAAGAGCUAUGGGUAUUAGGUACCUUCUAGAUUGACUCUAGUGCAAGUGGGAGACUGUUGGAGGUAUGCCCUAGAGGCAAUCAUAGAGAUGAUGAUAUUCCAUUUGUAUGCAUGAUUUCUAUAUUGUGUUCAUUGAAUAUCCAUUAAAGGCUACUUGAAUUGAUUUGCAAUUAUGUGAAUUGUAUGUGAAACUCUUUACUUGUAUUGUUAUUUUAAAGUUAUCCCUAGUCGGAGUUCAUGUGAGGACACACAUGAAUAUUAGACUAGCACAUGUAUUAGUUGAUGACUAUGUUUCACAAGUCAUGGACAUGGAGAUGUUGAACUAAUAAUGUGGACACAUGUGGAGACAUGUGCUAGGACUGACCCAACACGAGAAGUAGUUCUCUCUUUAAAAAACAUAUACGCUUUGUCCUUAGACCUGAGAUUGUCGCAUGUAUUCAAGAUGUGGAUCGACCUACUUAGGGGCUAUGAAACGCUACGCCGUAACAGGGUAGUUAUAAAGGUAGCUUUCGGGUUUGUCAAGAAGCAUGCUAUGAGACAUGGUCAAUCAAGAUGGGAUUUGCCCCUCUCUGAUUGAGAGUGAUAUCUCUGGGCCCCUGAAGUGAUCGGAUCCGAAAAUGCAUGGCCAUGCUACGUACGGUUAAGAGUUAACCUACAAAGGGAUUCCGAAUCACAGGAUCGAGAAAGAGCGGUCGGCUUGAAGCUAGACCAAAUAUCGUGAGGCAAAGGGAAUAGCAUGUAUAUUAUGUUGUGAUGGUUCGUGUGAUAUGAUCUUCGUGUGCGUAUAGGAGUUGGCACGUCUUGCUAGAGGCCGCUACCGACUACUGGGUCGAGUAGGAGUACUCAGGCCAUGUCUAUACAUAUCCGAACCCAUAGGGUCACACACUUAAGGGGCUGGAAGCCCAAUUCGGCUCUGAUCCGAGUUGGAUUAGGUUUAGAAGUACUAAUGGGCCUCGGACCCAGAGGCCCAUCAGGAACCUCUAUAAAUAGAGGGGUGGGGGCGCCCUAAAGUUUACACCUUUUGGCGAAACACAUCUGCCGCGCCUCCCACACCCUCGCGUGUUGCAACUCGCGGAUCUAGCAGUCCGGCUUGCGACGCUUCCUCCCUGCACGUGUGGAUACCUUGGAGGUGUUGCGCCUGCAGCACUUGGACGAGCUGCUGACGAGCCACGACGAGCCGCCGACAAGCCACGAUGACCCGACGACGAGCCGUGGCACGAGGGCAAUCUUGCUGCACGUGGACGAGCUGCUGAGGAGCUGCUGGACGUUGACGUGAUCGACUACGUACGACUACGUUGAUCGACUACGUACGACUACGUUGAUCAUCUUCGCUGCAUCGACGCAAAUCUACAUUUUCCGCACCAGUAGUGCGUCGAGUGGUAAUCCCGUGAUCCUUAUACGGCAGUUCUUCCUGGUUUUAUGCGGUAGAAAUUUUGAUUUGCGCUAGUGUAGCCUACCUCGUAUCCCAACAUGUCCAACAAUAAUAUUUCCCGCAUUUCGUGGUUGUGGCGGUACUUCUCUUGCCAUGAGUAUCUCAACUUGUUCUGCUACGUUAGCAUCACUCAUUGAUUCUUGCCCAAUCGGCUCAUCUUGAACUUUUUCAAGAUGCAGUAUCUUUCCACUCUUUUCUCCUUUGAGAAACUCUUUCUCUAGGAAAACCACGUUUCGAGAGACAAAUACUUUGCCCUCUGACCGGUUGUAGAAAAAAUAUCCCAAAGUUUCCUUUGGAUAUCCCACAAAAAUGCACUUAUCCGACUUGGGUGUGAUCUUUUCCGACUGAAGUCGCUUGACAAAGACUUCACAUCCCCAAUCUUUAGAAAAGACAAACUGGGAACUUUUCCAGUCCACGGUGUCUUAACUACGGAUUUAGAUGGUGUUAGGCAUACUCCCCAGGCCCACGAGUAGGCCUUGGACGGCCCACUAAGGGACGUACUCGGACAAGAUCAGAACAAGGAUAGGCGUAUCCUUCUCGAACUAGUCUUGUAUGUUUAUGGAAAACUACUCGGACCAGAUGCCGAGUAGAACUCUGUAAUAGUACCCGACUAGGAUUCAGACUUGUAACCCUGCCCUCCCGUGUAUAUAAGGCCGGGCAGGGACCCCCCUCAAAACAACUCCAGUUCAUCAAUCCCCAAGAUCAAUACAAACCAACACACAGGACGUAGGGUAUUACGCGAUCUAGCGGCCUGAACCUGUCUAAAUCGUGUUCCUUGCGUCACCAUUGAUUCCUUGAUUCUCGACGACCCUUACCGCAUAAAAGACCACCUAGCGUACCCCCUAGGCGGGUUGCCGGUCUAAAACACCGAUAGCUGGCACGCCAGGUAGGGGAACUCGUCGAGUUUCUCAGCGCAAACUCAAUGGCAAAGGUCAUCAUCAGGCCCGCCUUCUUCAUCGAAGCCGGCGCCACCUUCGUUUUUGGAUCCUGGCUUUGCGUCGCUGAAGGCUCGAGAUCGUUCCGACGCCAGAUCAUCGACGUUCAGGAGAAGAAACUAGAAGAUUUGACCAGAAAAAAUCUAGAUUUCAAAGUCAACGAGUUCGAGUUCGACUACGCGUCGGAUUCAACUUCACCUUGGACUACUCCAACCUCCCGACCCCAGGACUCAGGGUCGGGCGAGGCGGAGCUACUCCUCCAAAGGGUCGGGCUCAGCCGACCCCAGGACUUGGGGUCGGACUCGACGGCAACAGUCAGCAUCCAAGUCGGUUUUGAUUUCAACGCGGUUCACGUACGGACUCCGCAACACAACCAAAGUCUACCAAGGUUUUCUUGCUCAACCCCGAGUCGAACUCGGGCAUAACGAGGAUUUCGACUCCGACUCAUCCUACUCACCAGAGAUACCAUUAUCUGGCCCAGCCCAAGAGUUGGUAAUCACUUCGACAUCUCAAGGCAGAUUCGUCCACUGGCCGGGAUUGCGACCCUCUCUUCCCGACCAUGACUACGACUCGCGCCUUGUCACCCAUACAGACAACCUACCAUAUCAAGAAGGCAUUCCACUCACUUCCAACCACGAAGAAAGUUACACAGAGAUUGCAACAUCAAGCUCCGGAAGCUACUACCCGGACAGGGAGAUACUUGUUAUCACUCAGAACAACAACCCAGGUACUAGCCAGAACAGAACCCCCAGGCGAUUGGCACAAAUCGACUACAUCUCCGAAGACGAAUCUACAGUUGACGCCCCUCACGUCGAAACUUCCGAGCAGCAAAACCAACAAAGGGUGCGCAAUACCUCUCGAGCUGAGCGACGUUAGUCGAUGGCUACAAAUAUUCCUAUUACAAAUCUUGAAAGGGCUUUCAACGCAGUCUAGGCUCAGGAGCACAAUACUCCACUCGCGGCUAUCGCUUCAAUCAACCUUUUGACAACAUUGAUGCCUCAGGAUAAGGAUAAUGCAGCCACAGCUCAACUCGUGCAGCGCGGCAAUGGACUAAUCGCACAACUCACGGAGCAAGCUUACAAGCUACUCGACAAAGAAUCACCAAUCCCGUCCGUUCCUCGUAUCACUUCUCAUCAAGAAGGUAGCAGGGGAGCUGCAGACAAAAAUGCUGCCCCACAAAACAAUGAUGUAGUCAACCAACCCCGGCAACACAGGCAAGGUCCAAGCAAGCAUAAAGCUCAUACACGACAGAAGGACACUGGAGAGGUCAGCUGCACCAACUCGGUUAAAAGUAUCCGCCCUACCCGAAAGACCCGCAAGAUGUCUAACUUCAGUGAUCUGCGAGAAAUUUUCAACAGUCGGCGCGAACGAGAAGUCGACAGCUACAACCAUUUUCCCUCUUUCACAAACCAGGUAACGAAAACCAAAUUACCCGAAAAGUUCAAGCCAACUGGAAUUACUAAAUACGAUGGCAAACAAGACCCUGUCCAAUAGCUACGAUGUUACUCACUAGCUGUUCAAGCAGCCGGGGGCAAUAACGACACCAAAGUCAUUCAUUUCCCCAUAUGCAUGGAACCCGCGCCACUGAUCUGGCUCGAGUCACUCAAACCCAAGUCCAUUGAUUCUUGGGCAGACUUGACAAAGGCUUUCACCAACAACUUCGCAGGCUCCAUGGCUAGACCAGGCAACAAGAUCGACUUAAGACAAAUCAAGCAGAAAGAGGGCGAGACCUUACGCGACUAUCUGCGAUGGUUCUUCGAAAAGAAGGCUACCAUAGUAGACAUCUUCGAAGCAGACGUCAUCGAGUGCUUACAAAACGGACUCUAUGAUCGAUGAACAUACCAAGACUUCGGUCACCGACGACCAGCUGAUGUCAAAGAACUCAAAGUCAUGGUGCAACAGUGGGCUGAUGCAGAGGACAAAAAGCGAGAACGGUUCGGUUCCCACCAUAACCGUGGACGCGACAACAACCACAACAAUGAAAUAGAAAGAACUCGGCAUAACGAUGCUCGGAACUCCUAUCCGAGUAACCACAAUCGCAAAAGGAAGCCCGACAACACCGUUGCCGCCAUGACCAGCUCCGGCAAAAAAGGACAUCGCAGAAACGACAAAGGGCCAACCUUCACAGAGCUACUCAAAAAGCAGUGCCCAUGGCAUCCGACUAGCAAGCACUCUGCAAUAGACUGUUACAGCAUGCGUCGAGUCAUGCAAGACUUACCCGCACCACCAACUUCUGAGGAGUACACCAAAAACAGAGAUAAGGCCCAAAAUAAAGCCCGCAAUGGCGAAGAUGAGGACGGCGACUUCCAGACAGCUGCAAAAACCAUCAACGUCAUUUUCGGCAGCAUUCCAGGCACUGCAUCCAAGCGAGCUAACAAACUCGUACUCAGGGAGAUCAUGGCCAUCAAGCCUACGGACCCCACACCGUUAAAAUGGUCGGAAGUUCCAAUUUUUUUCAGCAGAAAAGACCAAUGAACAAAAUUUUCAGAACCUGGAUGUUUCCCACUAGUCCUGGAUCCAGUUGUGGCAGGUUCAAAGUUAACUAAAGUACUCAUCGACGGCGGAAGCGGCCUCAACGUUAUCUUCGCCAAUACAUUAAGAAAAAUAUGCCUCGACGUCACUGAAAUGCUCACCCCAACGGAUUCACCUUUCUACGACAUUGUACCCGGAAACGCGGCUAUACCACUCGGACAAGUUGUCCUUCCAGUCACCUUCGGAACUAAGGAACAUUACUGCACCGAGUACAUCAGAUUCGAGGUCGCCGACUUCGAGACAUCUUAUCAUGCCAUACUCGGACGGCCAGCACUCGCCAAGUUUAUGGCCAUACCACAUUAUGUCUACCUGGUACUCAAAAUGCCAGGUCCCAAAGGGGAGCUCACGCUACGAGGAGAUCUCCGGAGGUCCUACGAAUGCGACACCGAAGCCGUGGAAAUUGCUGCGACUACUCAAACUCCUAGUCCCAUGCAGCAAGUCUUCACAGCCUCCAAGAAGCUCCAGCCAACCGACCUAGAGAUCCCAGAAAACAAGUUGGGCUCCACAAAGGUGAAACCCACCAGUGAGCAAGACUUCAAAUCAGUCGACCUCCAGACCAGUGAUCCUUCCAAGACAGCCCUGAUCAAAACAGGGCUGGAUCCUAAAUAGGAAUUCGCGCUCGUCAAUUUCCUUCGGGCUAACCAUGAUAUUUUCGCUUGGAAGCCAGCUGACAUGCCAGGUGUGCCCAAGGAACUGAUCGAGCAUUCUCUCAACGUCGAUCCCAAAGCUACUCCAAAACGGCAACGACUACGCCGGUUCGCUCAGGACAGACGAGACGCAAUCAAGAAAGAGUUAGCAAAGCUACUCGCAGCAGGAUUCAUCAAAGAAGUCUUUCAUCCUAACUGGCUCGCCAAUCCUGUCCUUGUCCGAAAGAAAAACAACGAAUGGAGAAUGUGUGUCGACUACACCGACCUUAACAAACACUGUCCGAAAGAUCCUUUUGGGCUACCCAGGAUCGAUCAAGUGGUUGACUCCACCGCUGGGUGCGCUUUGCUAUGUUUUCUCGAUUGCUACUCCGGCUAUCACCACAUAAGCCUCAAAGAGGAAGAUCAAGCCAAAACAGCGUUCAUCACACCCUUUGGAGCCUUCUGCUACAAAACAAUGUCCUUCGGACUCAAAAACGUAGGAGCAACUUACCAAAGGGCCAUACAGAUGUGCUUCGAAAAGCAACUUCAUUGCAAUGUCGAAGCUUAUGUUGACGACGUCGUCGUCAAAACAAGAAACCGGGAGGAACUCAUUGCUGACUUGGAGGAAACUUUCUCCAGUCUCCGUGCCUUCCGAUGGAAACUCAAUCCUACUAAGUGCGUCUUUGGAGUACCUUUUGGAAAAUUACUCGGGUUCAUCAUUAGCCAUCGCGGCAUUGAGGCCAACCCGGAGAAGAUAUCUGCCAUCACAAACAUGCAGGCACCAGCCAGCAUUAAGGAUGUGCAGAAACUCACAGGUUGCAUGGCCGUCCUCAACCGGUCAUCUCGAGACUUGGAGAACGGGGACUACCCUUCUUCAAGAUUCUCAAACGCCAGGACAAGUUCAAAUGGACGGAAGAGGCAGAUAAGGCAUUAACACAACUCAAAAACUUUCUGUCAAAGCCUCCUGUACUCACCGCGCCCUCGCCGAAUGAAGACUUGCUCCUAUACAUCUCCUCUACUACUCAUGUCGUCAGUACGGCAAUAGUAGUCGAACGGUCUGAACUGGGCCACGCUUACAAGGUCCAACGACCUGUCUACUUCGUCAGCGAAGUACUCCCAAACUCCAAAACUCGGUAUCCACCAAUACAAAAACUCUUACAUGCUAUUCUGCUCACUUCCCGGAAGCUGUGCCAUUAUUUCCAAGAGCACAACGUCAUAGUCAUCUCCGAUUUCCCGCUCGGCGAAAUUCUCCAUAACAGAGAUGCCACGGGUCAAAAGUCUCAGGCUUUGGUCGACUUCAUAGCUGAGUGGAUCAAAAAUCAAGUUCCAACACCAGUCGAACGACCAGAACAUUGGGUAAUGUACUUCGACGGAUCCCUCAAACUUGAAGGGGCCGACGCAGGUGUCUUACUCAUCUCCCCCAAGGGAGACCAGCUCAAGUACGUGCUGCAGAUAUUCUGGGAGGCAUCUAAUAAUGAAGCCGAGUACGAAGCACUACUACACGGCCUUCGCCUCGCAAUCUCCCUCGGCAUCAAACGACUACUAGUGUACGGCGACUCCCUAGUCAUCAUAAACCAGGUCAAUGACGAGUGGGACCGAAACAAGGACAACAUGGACGCUUAUUGCAAAGAAGUCCGUAAACUCGAAAACAAGUUCUCAGGCUUAGAGUUUCAUCACAUCUUUCGCGACAACAACGUUGCCGCCGAUGUUUUAUCCAAAAUGGGUUCAACUCGUGCAGAAGUUCCAGCAGGAAUUUUUGUACACGAACUACGCAAGCCGUCCAUACCUUAAUAGGUCACACCGCCAGUAGUCCCGACUACUGACGUCUCUCGAGAAAUCAUGAUGAUAGAAGUCGACUGGAGGACACCCUUCAUCGACUACAUCAAAGAUCACCAGCUACUAUCCGACAGGAAUAAAGCUGAGCAAAUCUCCCGACGUGUAAAGAAUUACGUUCUAGUCGGAGACAAGCUCUACAAGAAAGGUGCAUCAUCUGGAGUACUCAUGAAGUGCGUCACCAAAGAAGAUGGCCAAGAAAUCCUAGAAGAGAUUCACAGAGGAAUCUGCGGCAACCACGCAUCUUCAAGGACACUAGUUGGCAAGGCUUUCAGAGCGGGCUUCUACUGGCCAAUGGCUUUGGCCGACGCCAAACAACUGGUUCAGAAAUGCAAAGGUUGUCAAUUCUUCACAAAACAGCAACAUGUGCUGGCCUACAAGCUAGUCACAAUACCUCCAACAUGGCCAUUUGCCUGCUGGGGGCUCGACAUGAUAGGUCCGUUACCAACUGCGCCAGGAGGAUUCAACAGACCGGUCACUUGCCCCAAGGCAGACCGAGUCCUCAACUUCUUGGAUGAAAUCGUACACCACUACGGUUUUUUCCCAACAGGAUCAUCACAGACCUAGGAUCAAACUUCAAUAAUCACGACUUUUGGGAAUAUUGCGAGAACAGCGGCAUCGACGUCCGCUAUGUCUCGGUUGCUCACCUGCGAGCCAACGGACAAGUCGAGCAUGCUAAUGGCAUGAUACUCGAUGCUCUAAAGAAACGACUACAUGAUGUCGGCAACACCAAAGGUGACAGAUGGCUCAAAGAGUUACCCAAUGCCUUGUGGGGCCUACGUACCCAACCAUGCAAGACUACGGGACUAUCACCCUAUUUUCUGGUAUAUGGCUCGGAAGCCAUACUACCCGCCGACAUAAUGUGGCAAUCACCAUCCGUUGAGCACUACGACAAAGAACUUGCAAUAGAAACGCGGCGAACGGAUAUAGACAGUUUGGAAGAAACAAGAUGCGCAGCACUAGUGCAAUCUUCCAGAUACCUUGAUUGUUUAAGGCGUUAUCACGACCGCAACGUCAAGGAAAGAUCUUUCAACUCGGGCGAUAUGGUCCUUAAAUGUAUUCAAGACACGUCAGGAUUACAUAAACUCAAUUCACCAUGGGAAGGUCCUUACAUCGUAUCAAAGGUUACAGGACCCAAAUCUUAUAGGCUCCAAGAGCUCUCAGGAGAACAAGUGCCAAAUUCUUGGAAUAUCGAACAUCUCUGUCGCUACUACCCAUAGCAGCACCCAAGUAGUCGCUUCAAGGCUGCUACUCGGGCCAACUGCCCGACUACCAACUUCAAGAUAACUCAGCUUCGACAUGAGUUCUCUCCCACAAGGAUCAUUGCCCCGGUACAAAAAUCUUCGUAUUAAUCUUUACUAAAACAAGAGUACAUCAUGUUACAUACGAGUACAAGGACUCGGCUUACAUGAAGACUACAAGCAACUGCCUACUGGCGGGCUGCAUUUAAGCCUCAGGCUUUUACUAUAUCACAAGGCCACUCAGGUCUGCCGACCGCAGGAAGGGCCUACACGCAAGGAAGCUGCGCAAAAUGCAGCCAUGCCCAGGUACCCUACCCAAGGCAACGUCAGGUACUCCAUCACCGCCAUCGCCUUGGCAGCGGCAAUGCCAAAUCCGGCACGAUGUGCCUAGAGGGAACCAAGGCUGCUCUUUUGGUAGCCUUGCGAAGCCCAUCUAUUCUACGGCCGCACCUCCACCCCUUUCAGAGCGGGAUAAAGACUGCGGCACUCAUCACCCAUCACUAGUGAGUUCCAGCGCGUACUCCACUGAAUCACGAGCUGCAAGAUGAGGCGUGCGAUGAAACCUCCUAUGAGGAUUCUUCUAGCAUCGCGGCUAUCCCUACGAGCGCAGGAGUCUGUGGAGGGAAGGUGGCCUCAAUCUACGAGGAAUCUUCUAGCACCGGUGCGCUCUUUGAUGGCUCUGUACACUCAAACAGAAGCAACCGAAGGCAAUCCAUCGCUACUCAGGAACUUGAGUUGGUUCGCCCACCAGAUGGCCCUAUUUAUAGCCGAAAGGCCACAACUACCACCUGCUCAAGAGUUACUAUGCACCCAUGAUCAAUGAGCCUGACGACUCCUGACUUUGCCCAUGUGACCGCACUCAUGCCACAACGGACAAAAGAGUACAGUACCCCCGUGCAUCCACAAAGGACAAAAAAGUACAGUACACCUGUGUCCCUCAAAAAGACGAGUACUCAAACAGCAUUACAACUACUCGGCACUCGGGACUAGUACAAGCCAAGCAUGGCCUACAUCUCGGGGGCUUCGACUACUCUGACCCCAAAGACUCAAGGUCAGGCGGGAUGAAUCUUCCACCAUAGAGUGUCAGGCCCAGCCUACUCCAGUAUUCUGGAUUGGACAAAAUAGAGUAGAACUACUCUUCGCAAGACAACGAUCUUCAAAAUCCAAAGGCUUGAUAUUCAAAAGUAUCAAAGUAUUCGGUACAAGAACAAGAGUACACACAAAAGCUCAAAGCUCCUCUAGGGAGAAAAACUCCGACAUCUUGGCUGCAAUAGGCUCCGCCUCCUCGAGGUACUGCGCAUAUGCUUCCUCUGUGCAGUUGCGAGCCACGCCAUCUCCAGCUGCCGCCAAGUCUGCCCUCGGGUAGUAGGACUUCACAACUGCAAGAACCUGUUUGUAAACAGUCUUACAGAGUCCCGCCACUUGACUCGGGGCAGCUCUUAGUCGCUCUACUAGCGAUUGCGGUCCUGCGCCUUCCUCCACGGGGGGCUAUGGCAUUCACCAAGUCUUCGGCUGCUCCAGACAGCUCUUGGAGUUCGCCUCGAAGUCUUCCCAAGGUCUGGGCAUGAUCUCUACAUGCCACCAUGGCCAUGGCAAGCAUCUUGACAUUUUGCAUCUUUCGGUCCCGCUAAUGUUCGCAAGCAGCCUGUGCUUCCGUCAGCGCCGCACGAAGAUGUUCGGCUUCAUCUGCCACCCGGUCGUGAGCGUUUCUCCAGUCGAUGACUUGGCUCCUUGUAGCCGCUUCCUGCUUCUUGAGCUCUACAAAAGAAAGAACUCAGGCCACAGCCAACUACAGUUGAACACACUCAGAGUAGUCGACAUGCUCACCUUGAUACUUCUUGUUCAAGGACUUGUAGCGGCUCUCCAGUUUUUCCUACAGAACCGCAUGAUCCGCGCGUUCCACGGCAAAGGACUUUGCCCCGACUUCAUGAACCCGAAGAGCCUCUGUCAGUCGGGCACAUUCCUGCUCCAACUGAAGGCUUCUCUCCUGAAAGCAUCCAAGUAUGGUAUGAUAAGUUUCAAAGCCACACGACUACUCGGGUCAUACAACAAAAUCAAAAAGGAAAUCUACCUGGAAGAUCCGGAAAACAUCGAUGGCUCUCUGGAACUCCAAAUCAGAAGGCAGGCUAAGUACUGAUCUUUGGGUACUCUCCACAAGAUGAGGAACCAUACCCAGAGUAGCACCUACAACAUUCAUCGCAUCAGCUACCAGCCACGACUACAAUAAACAGACUACAACAAAAUACCUGGAGCAGUCGUUUGUUUGGCUUUCUCAACAUCUACUACGGCCAGCGAUCCGCCAGUGGAUGACGAUAACGCAGUGCUCUCCGAACCCGAUGCAGCAGCGGGAAUCUCCACCGAGCGAAUCACCACUUGAAGCAUCGACAUAGUAGCUCCAAGAUGGCUAGCGUCAACUUCGGGUACCUCUUCAACAGUCAAGUCCUCCAAAGGAACAUAUGCUGUAGCUGAGGGGUCCGGUGCUACCCCUGUUUCUACAGGGAUAGUCUCCUCUGCAUCUCUGCACCAAAAAAGUGUCACAGACGACUUCAAGACAAUCCAAUGUCAUUCAAAAAAAGACAAGGAAGCUCACCGGGCUGAACGUGGCGGUAGUCGCACACGCUUCUUCUCAGCGACAGGCGGCCGAGUACUAGGCACCGCGGGCGCUGUCUUCUCACCAAGGCCUACAAAACCGAAGUUAAGACUACAAUACUACUCGAACGAAUACAAGCAGAGGGGACAACGUCUACCACUGGCGAUCACAUUGGAUAGCAAGGUACCAGUAACGAGUACUGGUGACACCUCUUUUGCUGUACCCACUACUCCAGCAGGCAACCCCAGGACCGCCUAAUCAGCAAUAGGCGGCAUGGCAGCCGAUGGAGUUGGCACGGUCAACUCGGGGGCUACCCCAGUAUCUGUUGAUGGUACCCUCUCCGGCACCAUGUCAAUAGCCACAUCGCCGACUUCUGGGUCAGUUCCGGCCAUUUCUUCAGAAACAGCCUCAUCUUCACCAAGCGCCGUAUACACAGCCUUCACGAACCAAGACAAGAUUCGCUACAUCAAUAACGAGUUCAAAUCCAUCAUUAACAGACAAGUUACCGACUACAUACCUUGGUACCCCGAGACUUCUCAGGGGUUGAAGCAGACUUAGCCGCGGACUAGUCUGUGUCUUUUAACAGGUGGAGAAGGCUCGCCCUAAGACUCCUCAACGACAGCUUCCGACUCUUCUUCCGACUGCGCCAAGUAGCCGGCAAGAACUCGGGACUUCAAAACAACAAAAUCGGUAUCAGCAACAAGAAUCACCAGUCCAAAACAACAAGUCGGGAGCAAACGACAUACCACUUCUGGCUCGUACCAGGCGUCAUACUAGCGAAGGGCUGCAGGGAUUACUGGUACUCCCUGAUAGUUUCUAAAAAACUUAGCCAGCAGCGCCUCUACAUCAUCAUCGGAUAUAUCCUCAUCGGACAUACGCGACGGAUCCUUCAGACCUACGUACUCACUUCCCGAGUGAGCACGUUGUUGGAGCGGCUGAACCCUUCUCUUCAGGAAGCUGGCCGCCACGUUGAUCCCAGUCAAACCGAGUACCUUGAACUCGGUGAUCUGCUGCAUCAGGUGAUCGAGCUUAGGGGUAUCCUCAGGCUCGCUCACCCAGUUCUUCACAUGCUUGGGCACGUGACCGGUCACCACAGGCAAGCAGGGUUCAUGGUUCCCGAUGUAGAACCACCUUUUCUUCCACUCCCCAUGGGAGUCGGUCAGAGUAUACUCAAUAUACACGCCCGAGUUCCUAAGCUGAAACACGACACCUCCAAAGACUUCCGUCUGCUAAGCACUCGGUUGAGGCUUACAACGGAACAGCUUCCUAAACAACUCAAGACUUGGAGGUACUCCUAGGUAUACUUCGCACAGAUGUACGAAAAUAGACAUGUGCAGUAUACCAUUGGGAUUCAAGUGGACAAGUUGGAGUUUAUAGUACUCAAGAAUACCUCUGAAGAAGUCGGAGGUGGGCACCACUAAUCCCCUUUCCACAAAAUGUGCAAGCAUCACUGUCUCGGCAGGAUGUUCCUCAAACUACCACGCAUUGGGAAACGCGGGGCGCCACUCAAGAAUCUCCUUCGGCUGAAGGAGCUUUGCAUCAACUAGCGCUUGGACAGCUUCCUCCUUCAUCACCGAGUGUUGCCAAGUCACCCUAGGCGGCGGCGGUGCAGUUUGGUUCGUCGGCCCAACCUUCGAUGCCGGCAGCACCAACUCCUUCCCCUUCUUGGAUUUGACCUUGCCCGUCGCCGGAGCCUUGCCCUGGAUCUUCUCGGGUUUCUUGCCCAUCUUCUUGGUGCGCAUUCGACGGACUCAACCUCAAGAUAAGAGGGGUCUCUCUCAGAAAGCGGCAAUGGCAGAGGCGGCGACACUGGUGGCGGCGAAACACCGAGCGGAGGCGCAGUGGGGGAAGGAAAAAGAGAUCUGAUUACCGUAUGGCGUAACAGCAACCGAAAGGAGGCCUUCCAGUUUUAUCUCCGCCGGAUCCGGUUUUCCACGCGUCAGUUGCGCAACGGAUAGAUUAAUCGCGUAUCAAUCGUCUUAAACAUUCAACGGCUACUCUAUUCAACGGACUGCUGACCACUUCAACGACAGAAAUCGCCUAAGUGCUCGGGGACUACGGGUACCGUACCCGUUGGUCAGUUUUUUCUUUUCAAGAUCUCCAAGGGUAAAAUGGACAAAAGCUGGUUUGACCCUAAGCCUGACUCUUUGACUCAACCUAAGGCUUCGAGGGCUACUCCAUAUGGAGUGUGAUGGACAUCGCACUACCAUAUAAAACUACUCGAGAACGAAAACAGCUCGAAGAUGCAGAAAAGAGUACCUUCCAGCCACGCGAUAGUACGCGAGCACUUCAGUCUGCAAAACUACUCGGGUAGUGCCCGCAGUGCCCAAGACUAUUGCGCACGACUACAAAGUACUCGGGGGCUUGUCGGGCAUACUCCCCAGGCCCACGAGUAGGCCUUGGACGGCCCACUAAGGGACGUACUCGGACAAGAUCAAAACAAGGAUAGUAUCCUUCUCGGACUAGUCUUGUAUGUUUAUGGAAAACUACUCAGGCCAGAUGCCGAGUAGAACUCUGUAAUAGUACCCGACUAGGAUUCAGACUUGUAACCCUGUCCUCCCGCGUAUAUAAGGCCGGGCACGGACCCCCCUCAAAACAACUCCAGUUCAUCAAUCCUCAAGAUCAAUACAAACCAACACACAGGAUGUAGGGUAUUACGCGAUCUAGCGGCCCGAACCUGUCUAAAUCGUGUUCCUUGCGCCACCAUUGAUUCCUUGAUUCUCGACGACCCUUACCGCAUAAAAGACCACCUAGGGUACCCCCUAGGCGGGUUGCCGGUCUAAAACACCGACAGAUGGUACCCUAUUAAGUAUGAAAGCUGCUGUUUCUAGAGCGUAUCCCCAAAAUGACAACGGUAGGUCCGAUUGGCUCAUCAUUGAUCGAACCAUGUCUAACAAAGUUUAAUUAUGUCGCUCGGACACACCGUUUCUCUGAGGUGUUGCAGGCAGUAUAAGUUGUGGAACAAUUCCGCAACUCUUUAGAUGAUUGCUAAACUCGUGGCUCAAAUACUCGCCUCCACGAUCAGAUCGUAAGGCCUUAAUUUUCUUACCACGUUGAUUUUCAACUUCAUUCUGAAAUUCCUUAAACUUUUCAAAGGUUUCAGACUUGUGCCUCAUCAAGUAGACAUAGCCAUAUCUACUAAAAUCAUCAGUGAAAGUUAUGAAGUAUUGGAAUCCUCCUCUAGCCGUCGUGCUCAUUAGUCCGUAUACAUCGCUAUGUACGAGUUCCAACAAGUCUACUGCUCUCUCAGGAAAUCCUGUGAAAGGCGUCUUGGUCAUCUUGCCUAGCAACCAAGCCUCACAUGUCUCGUAUGAUUCAAAAUCAAACGAAGUUAGAAGUCCAUCAGUGGAGCUUCUUCAUGCGUUUUUCACUUAUAUGACCCAAACGACAAUGCCACAAGUAGGUAGGACUCAAAUCAUUAGGCCGAGGCCUUUUAGCACAUACAUUACAAAAUGUUUCGACUUCAACUAGGAACAAAACAACAAUUAUUCAACUCCAUAAUAAAUCCUGAUGGGAGGUGGAGUUGCAUCGUCCUGACGGUCAACGCAGCAACUCUUGCAUUAUUGCCCACGCGGAAAUCAACUUCUCCUCUUUCCACGCUUCUACUUCUUAUCAUUCCCUGCAUCAAAUUGCAAAUAUGAGCAACCGAUUCGGUAUCAAAUACCCAAGAAUUAACAAUUGUAUCAGCGAGAAAUAUGUAGUCUAUAACAUUAAUAACAAGCGUACCUGAGGUGGAAGUACUCUUACUUCUGCCAUUCUUCAACGAAGCUAGAUACUGCUUGCAAUUUCUCUUCCAGUGACCAAGUUCAUGACAGUAAAAGCACUUUUUGUCUGGAGGAGGUCCAGGUCCAGCUUUAACCUUGGGCGCUAGGUUUGGCUUGGACGUUCCAGCCUUUCCCUUCUUCUUCCAAAAAUUGUCCUUCUUCUUAAAGCUAGGCUUGUUCUGUAUAGCCAUCACAUGGCUGCUACUAGCGCUUUUCUUGAUGUCAGCCCUUGCUGUUUUAAGCAUGCCACACAGCUCAUUCAGACCCUUCUCCGUCCCAUGCAUAUGGUAGUUCGAGAUGAAGUUCCUAUAGCUAGGCGGAAGAGACGAAAGAAUGAAAUCAGUGGCCAACUCUUGGCCCAGUGGGAAGCCCAACUUCUCCAACCGUUGAGUGUAACCAACCAUCUUGAUUACGUGUGGUCCUACUGCUGCGCCUUCUGCUAGCUUGCUCUCCACAAAGGCCUUAGACACAUUGAACCUUUCAGUCCUGGCCUGUGUUUGGAACAUGUCUCUAAGCGCCACGAUCAUAUCGUGCGCCUCAUGGUUUGUUUCGAACUGCAUCUGCAGCUCGGGUUCCAUGCAAGCAAGCAUAAGGCAGCUUACUUCGAGGUUAGCAUCACAUGCUUUCUUGUAAGCAUUCUUAGCAGCAGCGGGUGCAUCAUCAGCAGGUUCUUCUGGUAGUGGGUUGUCUAGAAUAUCUUCCUUUUUCUCAGCCCUGACAACAAUUCUCAGGUUAUGGAUCCAAUCUGAGUAGUUUGUUCCAUUCAACUUGUCCUUCUCAAGGACCGAACGCAAAGCAAACGGUGUAGUGCUGCUAGGUGUCAUUUAAUCUACAACAAAAGUAAUGCAAAAUACACUAAGAGAAACGUAUCCAUGAUAGAGCAAAUCACAUUAAACUAUUUUAACAGAAUCUACUCCCACUAAAAUCAAUAUCCCUCUAUUGAUACUUAGUGAUUCAGGAUCCACAACUAACAAGUCUACUAGUGAGCUUUAGCAUCACCGCUAGCAAACAAGGUAGAUCGGUAAGCAACUUCUUGCUAAUCAUAUCACAUAUGACUCCUGUUGUUGGGUGACAUCUCUAUAUCUCGGCACCCAACCUUUAUGCCCCAAGGUCCCUAACCAUUAAGAUAACCUUGUUAAGCAAACCAACCCUUAUGCGUGUAAGUGUCCGACACGAACCCGUCUAGUCAAGGAAAACUAGUAGCACCCUAAUUUCAUAGACCCACCACUAAUUGUACGAGACAUGGGACGGUGCAAGUUUUAGUUGGGAGGGCAUACUAACUUAAACUUUGUGAGGGAUCGUUCUACUUCUAACAUCACAACAUGCAGAAAGUAAAACAUAAACAGAAUAGCAUUCACACAGUUGUGACGCAGUAUGGCCUGUUUUCUUAUGGUGAUCUCCAUCUCCACAGAACCUGUUCACCAUGGUGAUCUCCAUCUCCAUGUUCAAUGUGCGCCAUCCUCCUGGUGAUGAGUCCUCCAAGAACUAGAACAUGCUAUUACGCCUAAUAGCUAGAAAAGAAGCUAGUAAUGAAGAUUACAUAGUUGCUUGGAUCAUCACAGAUUGGUACGCAGACCAUUAAAUACAUUGAAGAGACAACACAUAUGGCUCCGGUCGUGUUGCCGUACGCGCGACACGGAGGUCACGAAUGAGUUACACACAUGCAUCACAUACACAAAGGGGCCAUACUGAUCACAAGAUACAUAAAUCCUGCAAAACAGAGUUAAGCGUCCUAACGUUCCAAACUUCGGAGGCCUGAAACUCCAUCUUCCAAGCCAAAUUUAGGAAAUCUAAUUUUGCCGAAAAUGGCAAAACCAUUGAAUUUCAUGUGUAACUUUUUCUGUAGAUCAAUUUUCAUAUAAAAUUCGCCUCGAUCUGAGAUCGUACCGAAAAGUUACGGCUGAUUUACCGAAGCACACGCACACGGCAAAAUCCCGACCCGGUAGUAAAUCCAAUCUACUAUUGCACAUCUCAUGCACCUGGCGUAUUGUUGGCAUUAGAAAUCAUUUGAUCGAAUUCCCAGCGUCGGACACACGACCCGGGAGAAUCUGCUUAGCUCCUGUUCAGGUGAUCGCCCUGGUGCGGUUAACCCGGCGUGCCAGCCAAUCUGACCUGUUGAUUGGCAAGGAAAUAAAUGUGUCAGUCCCCAGAGGUUGCGAUCGGCUAAGGUUCCGAUCUUGAGAAAGCUUAUCAGCGAAUCGGCCGAUUUGCAGUAAUAAGGAAAUCGGCUAUGAUGCAACCGAUUACCAGGCAACGUUUGUGAAGAAAACUACUAGAGUAAUCUAAACAACGCUACGGUAGCAACACUAGGAACAAAUCUGAUCGGCUAUGCACGAAAUAGGUAGAUUAAACAACAAAAUACAAGAAAAGCCAAAAAUACUAAUUCCUAGCUGGAUAACUGGUGAUAAAACUAGAACAACAGGCAAAACCUAGAAUUCUAGUAAGUAUCGAUAACUGGUGAAUAAAUCUAAACGAAACGACAGCGAUGCGCCCGAAGUUAAAGCUUAGAAAUUACUCGAUAAACGGAACUUACAAGAUCAGCCGGAGGUCAAGUUGAUGCAGCCCCGCCAACCCGUACGAACUCGUGAAAAAGGAGAAAAAGUGUUGGCGAAGUCGCCUGCUUGAAAGUAAGUACGAGGAAAAAGUAGUUUGUUGUAUUGAGUUGAUGAUGAUUACAGAUCCAUAAGGGUGGCUAUUUAUAGCCUGUUACAAACGACUUCUUAUCCGAGUAGAACUCUAUCCCUAAAUUUAAACAGAAAAACUUCUUAUACGACUAGAACUCUAUCCCUAAGUUUAAACAGAAAAAGAAUAUUUACAAGUACGAUUCGUACUAUUUUCACGUGCUUCAUGGGCUGACCUCUUCUUCAUCUUCAUAAUCUUUUUUAAGCCCACAUCGGCCCAACUAUUCCAACCUUCUAAUCGGCCGAUCUCCUCUUUGGCAAGGGGGUAACCGAUCAUGACCCACACGUCGAGGGCUCAGACUCAUCCCGACCCUGGGGACUAAGGUCGGACGAGGCGGAGAUCCUCCCUCGGAGGGUCGGGCGCAUCUGAUCCCAAACCCCAAGGGUCGAGCGAGGCGGAGAUCCUCCCUUGGAGGGUCGGGCGCAUCCAAUCCCAAACCUCAGGGGUCGAGCGAGGCAGAGAUCCUCCCUUGGAGGGUUGGGCGCGUCCGAUCCCAAGUCUCAAGGGUCGGUCGAGGCGGAAAUCCUCCCCUGGAAGGUUGGGCGUGUCCGAUCCAAAACCUCAGGGGUCGGGCGAGGCGGAACUCCAAGGAUCAAUCAGCCGAUCCUCGACUGCAGCAUCAAUUGGCCGAUCGUUGACUGUAGCACCAAUCGGCUGAUUUCCAAUCAUCGCCCUUGUAUCUCGCCGCAUCUCCUAAUUCCUUCCACUUCCAACGCCGAUUUUACACGUGUCAAAAUCUGGCGUCAACACAUGCCCCCCAGUUUCGGAGUAAAACAUAGUCUUUACUUCGAAAUUCUUUUCAACUUCUCAUCCGAAACAGAUGCCAUUAAAAUAUCCUUCCGUUUCGCGGUCUCCAACCUGAUGAUUGCAAUCUUUUUGAAAUGGGUGCCCACGACAUCCACUACUCCCGAAAAACUCGAAACGCCGGCACGGUAAAAAUUCCGAUUUUACCCCUUCUCAGAGCUUCUUUAAAUAUUAGCACAUCCUGUACUCCUUACGAGCUCACGUCCUUCUUCUUCAGCGCACAAGCUUUUCUUCCCCCUUCAACACUUUCCUCAAUCCUCCAAUUCUUCAGCGCCUCCUUCCCUUCGCAUUCCCUCCUACUUUUCCAAUGGCGGCACCUUCAGGCACCUCACAAACGCGCGAAGCUCCAGAAAUGGCGCCUUCGGCAGAGAAUCCAGUAGCGACAGCGGCAGCUCCAUUGACGGAAGAAGGAGCUCCAUCGGCGAAAGCUGAAGCUUCAUCCGAGAUCCCAUUGGCAGCUUCAUCAUCUGCAGUUGCACCGGCGACUCCGCCGAUUACGAGGAGCUUCAUCCCGGAGGUCAUUAUCGAAAUUUUCCUUUAUUAGUAAUGCAUUUACCUUAGAUCUAUUUCUUACUCUCGCACCCCCUUUUCUUUUUUAGGCAGUUAGGCAUCGCAUCACCAUUCGCCUUACAGAAAGCCUCGGCCUUAUCUGCCUCGGGCCCAUGGGAAACCCAGAUCCAACCGACCUAAUCAACUUGGAAACCCAUAGGAUCCCCUUCAAACAAUCAACUAUGGACCUAGAUCACUGGUCGGGUACCUUUAGGUCUUGGCUGAACGAAACUCCUGGUUGGAGGGAAUGGUACCAACGGAUAGCCGCCUCCAAGAAGGUCCGAUGGGACGAGCUCAAAAUUGGCCAAUGCAUCGAUCUAUCCUUGUCCCAAAUGGAACGGAAUGAGCCGUUAGUGAUGGCAGCUUCUUACUUCUAGUCCGAUGCUCUCAACGCAUUCCUGUUUGGACACGGACCCAUGACCCCCACAUUGGCUGAUGUAGUCUUGCUGACCGGCCUGGACAUCUCUUCCCCGGACACCCCUUUCCGCCUUAUAGCCGCAACAUCACAUCGGCUGGACACAAGGGGAAUCGGCGGGUGGAAAGGCUUCAUCAGAUGCAACAAAAGGGCCGGAUCUAUCGAGAACAGAGAGCAUACGGCCUUCCUGAUGAUGUGGCUAGAGAAGCACUUCUUCUGUGGGAGAGCAGCUGGUCCAUCUACCAAUACCCAAGCUCUGACCGAAGCACUAUCAAUAGGGACUUCUGUUCCUCUUGGAAAGCACUUACUGGGAGCGGUCUACCACAUGCUUCACCAAAUCGGCAUUAAGCUAUCCCAAGGGGAGCCGAUUGGAAACCCAGGUGGACCAUGGUGGUUCAUUAACUUAUGGCUGAACUUGUAUAUGAGCGAGAUCUCUCAGCAGCGAGUGGAAAAUAUGACAUUCCCCAACGUCGAAUCGGAAGAGAAUCUCACUGUCCGACGCCGGUGUACGUCUUUCGGCGAAGCGGCAUCGGCCUUCUCUUGUUGCUCGUACUCUGCGACCAAGGUGGCCGAAUACUUCCGGUGUUUUUAUAACGGGUUCAAUGAAGAUGCAACCGUCUGGUUCCCUUAUCGGAGAGAUGACCCAAUCUUUGAACUCCCUUCUUGCUUCGACUCAACCACCGGCCGAUUCGACGAAGAUCUCACAGAUGAACUAAUUAAACCAGGGAUCUUACCGGCCAACUUCUUCUCAGGAAAAGAUGCCCCUACAUAUGAAUUCUACAACCCCUCUAUUGUAGCACGGCAAUUCGGCAUGGGUCAACUGCCGAUUCAGGCAUACUUCAUCGACCGAGCAAAGUUCAGAGAUGAGCUCACCAAGGGCCUUGACUAUAGUCGGCUGUGAAAUCGGAUACCAGACUCCAGCACCAUAGACUUGAAUGACUGGAUAGUAGCCCCCUUUGCUGUCCAACAAUUCAAGCUAUGGUGGGCCGAAUGGAAACAGUACCUGUUCUGCGCCUCCGCAUCGACAUACUGCAAUCUCUUGGAUCCAGCCAACAUCGAUCCGAACGCCGAGGUAUUUCUCCCCUAGCCGAUCUUCAUUCCUUUAUUAAUGCGGUUAAAUAUGUACACUAACAUCUUGCUGUUACUUCAGUCUGAAAACCGCGUUCCCCCAACACACAGUCGGAGUGGCCAGCCGAUAGAGGAUCAUCACCCAUACACCAUCUUCCCCCUUAUCGGCUAUGAUGCCCCUUCCGUGGAUGUGAUUGCCGGCCGAUCGAAGCAGGCGCGGAAGAAGGUUACCAAAAAGACCAGUCGCCGAGUACGAACUCGUAUAGAAUCGGCCGACCCUCCUAUGAUCACAUCGGCAGAAACUUUGGCCGCAUUGCCCCUUCCAGCUGCUGGAGAAGUGGAUACUCAAGUCAUCACGCAAGCUGGAGCGGCCGCUGCAUCAUUAUUGGUGGAGGCUAUGCAGGUAAACUUGUUGUCUGAUCCUACCGAUUGCCAUCUCUAUACUGACUCAUCUUAUUUUAGACUGCACAAAUCACUUCUGUGGACUCACAACAAUCGGCAGCAACCCAAUCGGUCAUCAACACGCCCACGCUUCCAUCUGCCGAGGUAGACUACUCUUCAACCGAUUUUUCCAGUAUUUGGAUAAUAUUCUUAUUCAAUCUUUUGUCACAGGUCACUGGCACGCUUAGCGCCCCACCUAGCCAACCAAUGGUCAUCUUCCGGGAAGCUGGCCCGAGCACAGCACCAAUCAUGGUGGAGUCUUCUACUUCUGAUGAACCAAUGGUACUGGCCCCUGAACCGAGGAUAACGGCUUCUCAACGCAAUUUGAAGAAAUUCAUUUUAAGGAGGUAAGAGAAUUCUCACCCUUACUCGGCCGAUUUGCUAUCAUCAUCGACUGAUUUGUUCUUCUUCUUGGCCUAUUAUUUUCCAGGAACAGGACACUCCCAACAACAGCCUUUUCUCGUUUGCGCUCGCACUCUCCGAUGACGAGGAAGUCGCCUCUCGCCAGGUCACCUUGAGCUCUGCCCCUGAUGACGUCCAUGCCAAACUGGCAAGCAUCCGAUCCCUUCUUCAAGAGGACAUCGGCCGAUUAGUAGAAGACGCCUCACCGAUUCGGCAACUUUUUGGUGACGUCAGCGGGCGAGUACCAGAAGAAGCGGAAGAGGCCUUGGCGCCGGCCGCGUAUAUCGAGUCAAUGAGGAUUCCAGUCUUUAGAGCCCUGUGCCACAUGGCCGAUCGCGCCAAGUUGACCAAGACUCGUGAAGAAGAAGACACGUACAAGCGUCAAGCUCAAGAGGUGCAUCAACGGAUUCACUUUCUGGAAGACUCUCGCCCGGGGAUCGUCGGCACGAUAGAUCGCCUCAAGCGCCAAAGGGCAGAGCUUGCCAAGGAGAUGGAGCAGGUGACCAAAGCAAUAGAUGCCGAAGAGAAGAGGCUUCAAGAACUCCCUUCCGUUAUUGCCGAUCUGAAACGGGAGAGGCAGCACCUGGCUCACAAAGCCCUCAGACUCCACCUCCACAUGUUAGAAUCCCGGAUCGGUAGAGGAUGACCAACGGGUCCUGGACUCUGCCGAUCAGAUCCGGCGUCGAGCGGUCGCAGCUAUCGAUGCCCUUCUGGGUGACCUGUAAAAGUACUGGCAGUUCUUGUACAAACAUUUAAUGUCCCCUUUGACCGUCCUUCGCAGCGCCCCCUUUAUUUAUUACCUUUUUCACUUCUGAUGGGACGCGUCUUACCAAACAUUCACGCCUUCCUUUCUUAUAAACGCCGGCCUAGGUCCCUGUUCCGAGAGCACCUGUCUAGCUUGGCUUCAUCUUCCCAACCUGUUUUCGUCGGUGCGCCUUUCAGUCAUGUCUUCUUCAUCUUCUACCUCUUCUGUUAAUCAGGUAAAAGAUUUGCCUCCAUUCUCUUUCUUAGUUUGACUCCUCUGAAGGAAAUCACCUUUUCAGCGACUAUACGUAUAUUGUUGUUCUCCGCAGCUGCGGCGUCUUAGCCCUGAACUAGAACGAGCCAUCGGACUCGUGCAUUCUGACGAACCGCUAUCGCAAGAAGACAAGGACUUAAUCAGGGCUCAUCGCAACGAACUUCAAGAGCACGUCCCUGCUGACGUUCGCCGAAUCUGGGAUUUUCUGGACGGCAACGACCACUGGCGACCUCAAGCCGACCGAAGUCAUCCGCUUCCCCAUCAAAUCAUCCUCGAAGAUGCAGCAGCAGGAACAUCACGCCCGGCCAUGGACCGGAGUCACCCUCUCCCCCGUCAAGUCGAAGCGGAGGCUUCGAUGAAAGAGAUAGAAGAAGAGUACAUCCGACUUCUGAUAGCACUAGGUCGGGCUGAGAGAGAUCGUAAGAAAAAGCGUGAUUAAUUAUUUUUUGUUCUAAGGGUGACUUGUACCUUGUCGGCCGUGUAACCCACCGUCCGUACCGAAUGAAAUAUAUCGGCCGAUUUGGAUGAUUAUGUGUUUUCUCUAGACGAAUCCUUUUGCAUCGGCUGUGUGUUGUUCAUCGUGGUCGAUCCUUAUGCUCCGACCCAUAUACUAGGGUAGUACCUUUUCAAGUAUCUUCCGUUCAGAGCCCUAGUAAACUCUUCUCCUUCGAUUGUUUCCAGAAUAUAAGCGUUUCCUGGAGCACAUCUGCCGAUUUUAUAUGGCCCUUCCCAUGUAGGAGACCACUUACCACAUUUAGGAUCUUUCGAACCAAUCGACAACACUAACUUCCAAACCAGGUCCCCCGGAGAGAAUUGUUUGACUUUGACCUUCUUAUCAUACCACCUGGCCACUUUCUUCUUGUUUUCUUCAAUGCUUAUCAAAGCUCUCAAUCGUUGGCCAGCCAAGUCAUCAAGUUCCCCUUUCAUGAGUGAGGAAUAGUCGUCGGCCGUCUACUGGUCCUGGAGUGAAGUGCGUCUCGACCCCGCCCUCAAUUCCCAUGGUAGUACUGCAUCGUGACCGUACACCAACUGACAAGGGGACAACUUGGUGGCCCCAUGGCAAGCCAUCCUGUAUGCCCAUAGGGCUUCAGUCAGACAUAGAUGCCACUUUUUCGGCUGCUCCUCUAUCUUCCUCUUGAUUAACUUUAUUAUCCCUUUGUUGGAGGAUUCGGCCUGGCCGUUAGCUUGGGCAUAAUAUGGAGAGGAGUUUAACAAUUUGAUUCCCAUAUCGGCCGUGAACUCCUCGAAUUCUCCUGACGUAAACAUCGUCCCUUGAUCGGUUGUGAUAGUCUGGGGGAUGCCGAAGCGGUAGACAAUAUGGUCCCUUACAAAGUCAACCAUGGCAGCCGAUGUCACAGCCCUUAACGGAAUUGUUUCCACCCAUUUGGUGAAAUAAUCGGUGGCCACCAGAAUGAACUUGUGCCCUUUGCUUGACGGAGGAUAAAUUUGGCCGAUGAGGUCUAUUCCCCAACCUCUGAACGGCCAUGGUUUGAUAUUGGGAUUCAUGGCCGAUGCGGGCGCACGUUGGACAUUCACGUAUUUCUGACAAUCCUGACAUCCUUUAUAAUAUUUGAAGCAAUCUUCGAGGAUCGUCGGCCAGUAAUACCCAUUAUUCCUAAUCAUCCAUUUUAUCUUAUGUGCCGAUUGGUGGGCUCCACACACUCCUUCAUGGAUUUCUCCCAUCAGAGUCUUAGCCUCCUCCGUUCCUAGACACUUGAGUAGGACGCCAUCGAUUGUUCGGUAGAACAAGUCGUCUUCCAGUAACACAUAUUUGGUAGCAUGGAAACGUACCCGCCGAUCCACUUUCUUAGAUGGAUCUUUUAGGUAAUCAGCAAUCUCUUUUCGCCAGUCAUCGGCCGCGAGCUCUAGAGCCAUAGCGCCUUGAAUCGGCCAAUACCCAGAUGCGUGUUGGGCGAGCUUGUUGGCAUCCUCGUUGUGAUUCCUUGGGAUGUGCUCAAUAACUGCCAAUUUGAAUUCUUUCAGAAGCUGCAGGCAAUCUUCAUAAUAAAUCCUCAACACAUUGUCCUUGCAUUCGGACUUCCCUGUUAAUUGAUCCACAAUAAGCAUGGAAUCUCCAAAAACUUCGACAGAAUCGGCCUUGACUUCUCUUAGCAGUUGUAAUCCCUUCAGUACAGCUCGGUACUCUGCUUGAUUGUUAGUGGCGGAUGCUUCUAUCAGCAGAGAAAAAUCAUAGCUUGCCCCCCGAGGCGAUAUGAGGAUGAUGCCGAUUCCUGAUCCGGCCCCACAUGACGAUCCAUCAAAGUAUAAGGUCCAAGGUACCGGUUCCAGGAAGGUAGUCUCUGGUCCGCAGUGUUGGGCAACGAAAUCGGCCAUAACCUGACCCUUAACGGCCUUUGCCGAUUCAUAUCGAAGGUCAAACUCUGACAGAGCCAAGAUCCAUUUUCCGAUUCGUCCCUUCAAAAUCGGCAGUGACAGCAUGUAUUUUACCACGUCGUCCUUGCAUACGACCACACAUUCCGCUGCAGCAAAUAGUGCCUGAGUUUGGUGCAUGAGAAGUAAAGGCAUAGGCACAACCGUUCCACUGGAGGAUACCUUGUUUCGGCGUCCAGAAGUCUUCUACUGACAUAAUAAAUUACCCGUUCCUUUCCUUCAAACUCCUGGACCAGAGCCGACCCAAUAGCUCGUUUAUCGGCUGAUAAAUAUAGUUUAAACGGCUUACCAGUUUGAGGAGGGACCAAUACCGGUGGUGAGACCAAGUACUGCUUGAUAUCUUCCAAUGCCUUGCAUUGCUCUUCCCCCCAUAUGAACUCCUGGUCGGGCUUCAACUUUAAUAAUGGUGUGAAGGCUUGGAUUCUCCCAGACAAAUUAGAUAUGAAUCUUCUGAUGAAAUUCACCUUGCCGAUUAGAGAUUGCAGCUCAGUUUUAUUCUACGGGGCCAUGACUUUGUUGAUGGCCGCUAUGGUCUUCCGAUUGAUCUCUAUUCCCCGCUCGUGCACCAUGAAUCCUAAGAAUUGUCUGGCGGAUACGCCAAAGGCGCACUUGUUCGGGUUCAUCUUCAGCCCAUGUUUUUUAGUGCAUUCCAAUACUUGUCGUAAAUCGGCCAGAUGCUCCUGGUGUCCUUUUGACUUGACUACGACGUCGUCGAUGUAGAUUUCUACCAGUAUGCUGAUAAGUUUGUGAAAUAUGUAGUUCAUGGUUCUCUGAUACGUAGCGCCGAUGUUUUUCAAGCCGAAAGUCAUUACCACCCACUCGAAUAAACCAAGGUGACAUGGGCAUCUGAAGGCCAUUUUGGGUAUGUCUUCUUCGGCCAUAAGUAUCUGAUUGUACCUAGCGUUUCCAUCCAUGAAACUAAUAACCUUAUGUCCCACGGCGGCAUCUAUCAGCACAUCGGCCGUCGGCAUGGGGUAUCCGUCCAUUGGUGUGGCCUGAUUGAGGUUCCUGAAAUCGACGCAUACACGUAGCUUUCCGUUUUUCUUGUAUACUGGUACAAUGUUGGAGAUCCACUUGGCAUAACGGCAUUGCUGAAUAAAUUUUGCUUCGAUUAGCCGCGUUAUUUCGGCUUUUAUGUCUGGUAGGAUUUUAGGAUUGCACCGCCGUGCAGGCUGUUGAUACGGCCGAUACCCUGGCUUUAUGGGUAACCGAUGCUCAACGAUAGAUCGGUCUAAUCCGGGCAUCUCAUGAUACUCCCAAGCAAAGCAAUCCUUAAAUUCUCUUAACAAACUUGUCAGUUUACAUUUGUAUUCCGGAUCUAAAUUUGCACUAAUAUAUGUCGGCCUUGGUUUGGUGCCAUCACCUAAGUCUAUCAUUUCUAAUGAAUCGGCCGACGUGAACCCGUGUCCCAGCUUCCCAUCUUCUCGGGCGAACUGAUCCAUUUUAGUCUGAGUCUUCGGAGCCGACUGCUCGGAUCGGCUGUAGGCCAAAGUCGGACACCUUCAAGAAGUCAGUAUCCCAUACUCUCCCGGAUAUGCACUUGAUGGUUUCGCAGCUCCACUGCUGCGUGUCGGCUGCCGCGAUGCUGUAUGCGGAAUCGGCGGUGACCACCUCGAUGUUGUCGCCGACCCAUUGCACGAGGCAUUGAUGCAUUGUAGAUGGGAUAUAGCAAUUUGCAUGUAUCCAGUCUCGGCCGAGUAGCAUGUUGUAAGAUCCCUGGCCAUUAAUGAUAAAGAAAGUGGUAGGAAGGGUCUUACUGCCGAUGGUGAGGUCGACGCAGAGAGCGCCGCGAGCGGGGGAUACGUUGCCCUCGAAGUCCUUGAGCAUCAUAUCUGUCUUGGUCAGGUCAUCAUCGCUCUUCCCAAGCUUCCGGAACACGGCGUACGGCAUGAUGUUGACUGCAGCCCCUCCGUCUACCAGUAAUCUGGUCAGGGGUCGGCCGUUGACAUGCCCUUUAAGAAACAACGCUUUCAGGUGUUGCCGUUUGUCAUCUUCGGGCUUCUCGAAUGUGGCUGUCAUUGGCUCCAAAGCCAAUUGCGCCAUCUGCUCUUCCAUUGCCGACAUGUCCUGUCGGUCGGCAGGAGUCAUGAACUCCAUCGGCAGUAUGAAAACCAUGCCGAUGUCGGCUGCCGAUUCGUCGCCUGCCGAUUCGUCGCCUCCUCUGUCGUUUCUUUUGGGGCGCCAUACCUGAGACCUGCCUGUCUUCUCGUCCGUCGUGUACUGUUGUUCUUCCUCCUGCUGUUCCCACUGGCGGAGACGUUGGAUUCUUCGUUUUUGAGACUUGGUCAAUCCAUCGGGGCACCACCUGGGGUUCACCGGUUUGGUUCGUGGUCUAGCACGUUCCCAUUCCGGUCACUUCUGCCCCCAGCCGAUCACGUACUGGAGGGUGCCGGUCGUCUUGGUCGUGCCAGUUCCUGCUGAUCGGCUCUGGUCUCCCAUCUCUGGAGUGAGACCUGCUGAACGGCCGAUUGUUACGAUACGGGCCGUUGCACUCCGGGCAAUUAUCGGCCGAAGGCAACCUGAGGUUGCUUUCCCAACAGUGGAUGAAGAAUGGGCAUCGCCAGUGAUCUUCAUGUCGCCGCAUUGCUUCUUCCCGGGAUCUUGAGCGUUCAUGUUGCCGCUGAUAUUUGUUGAGCAGGAAUUGGGAAGUGAUGCAUGGUUCUCCUGAUCCGUCGUCAUCGUCCUCCAUCCGCCGUUUCCCCUUGACAUCUUCAGGCGCCGCUUGAUUUCUAGGGUCUACAGCGCCACUCCUUUUAGCCGAUUUGGAUGUCAGCACCUUGGUUUGAAGCAAAUUCUUUCCCGUGUCAACCAUAUUAGUGGGGAAGGGGUGCUGGUCGAUCUUCAUCGGCUUGGCUGGUUUUGUUGGCACCUCAAAUUUGAGUCUGCCCUGCUCAAUGGCCGACUGUAUUUGCUGCCGGAAGAUUUUGCAUUCAUUCGUGUCAUGGGAGGUAGUGUUGUGCCACUUGCAAUACUUCAUCAUCUUCAGCUGUUCGGCAGAAGGAAUCGUAUGGUACGGCGAGAGCUUGAUCUGUCCUUCCUGGAGGAGGAGGUCAAAGAUUUUAUCGGCCUUUGAUGUGUCAAAUCCGAACUUUUCCGGCUCCUUCUUGCCAAAUGGACAUGAUAUCGGCUUCUUCCCUUUAAUCCAUUCCGCAAGACUGAUUUCUGCAUCUUCUUCGGUCUCAACCUCUUCUAAGUAUGCCACCUUCUUCUGGAAGUUCCUCCGUGGAUUGAAAGAACGUACCUCUUGACCAGACAAUCGGUGGAUGAUUUGGCUCAAGCUCUCAAACUCCUGUGAGGCGUAUUUUUCUUUGAUGUGAGGUAAGAGACCUUGGAAGGCUAUAUCAGCCAACUGUGCAUCAGUCAGGGCCAAGGAGUAGCACUUAUUUCUGUUUUCCUUGAAUCUCUGCACGUAUGAGGAUAUCGACUCGUCGCUUCUCUGCCUGAGGCUGGUCAAAUCGGACAGCUUCAUCUCAUGUACCCCGACGUAGAAGUAUUUAUGAAAUUGCCUUUCCAGAUUGGCCCAUGUAAUUAUCGAGUUGGGCGGUAAGGUUGUGAACCACUGGAAGGCCGAACCAGACAGGGAUGACAAGAAAAGUCGCACCCGUAGAGCAUCCUGCGCCGCUGCUUCCCCGCAUUGGAUGAUGAAUCUAUUCACGUGUUCCACGGUUGAGGUGUCGUCCAGCCCCGAAAACUUGGUGAAAUUAGGAACUUUAUACCGAUGGGGAAACGGCAGUAAGUUGUAUGUAGGCGGGUACGGUGUCCUGUAUGUGUAGGUCUGCACCUUCGGUUUUAAGCCGAAUUGUUCCUGAAUCACCUCUGCUAUACGUGCCGACCAGUCCGGCUGUUGCUGGUGUACCAUCGGCUGAGGAACUGGUACGUGCUGGUAUAUUGGUGGCGGGAUGACUUGAUGUUGAGUGAAAGCAUGUGGCAUUUGAUUUGUCAUAGCCGGCUGCGUAUUCAGGGUCGGCUGUUUGAAUGAGCCGCUUGUUUCAUCAUAUAGUACGAGCUCUGCUGCUUCGCUCAUCUCUGGUGCGACAGGCUGGUACUGUGGCAUGGUUGGUCGAGCGGCCGCCUGGAAAGACGCCUGGAAUUGGGGACUUCCAUGGUUAGCCGAUUGAUCCUGGACGGCCGUCGCCGAUGGUGCCCCCCAAGGCGCUGGAUUAAACGGAGGAAACUGCGCGGAGGACAAAUGAAUGGGACGUGGCUGAAGGUGUUGCGUUCGAUUAAACCCCAUAGGGAUCAAUGAUGAGGAAGCGCCAGAACCCCCAACUGGAAAUUGGAUCGGCUGAGAAGCCGAAUAAGGUGUAUUUGGAUAACUCUUGUUCGGAGCUGUAAUCGGUGGAGCAUACGCCAGCCCCUGGUACCCUUGAGAUACACCGUUAGCGAAGGAGCUGAUGACGGCAUUGUACACUGUAUUAGAAAGCACCAAGGAUUGAUCGAUGAAAGAUUGAUAGACAGAUUGCUAAACCAUCUCGGACAUCUUGUCCGAGUCCUCGGUGACUGUGAUCUGGCGGGGAGUUGGAAACGGAGCCUUUUUGAUAGUUUCCUCGCUCCUGGUGCGACUGAAGGACUGCAGACAUGUCUUCCGGUAAUAUGCCGUCUGCCUCUCUAGUUCUUCCUUCUGGUCGUCCCUGAGAUCUGCCUCUUUCACCUCGAUGACGUUAUCUUCGGAGACUUCAGCAGCUUUCGACAUGGUGGCGGUUGUAUUCGUCCCACCGGGCGUGCCAAAAGUGUGUUGGCGCUAGAAAUCAACUGAUCGAAUUCCCAAUGUCGGACACACGACCCGGGAGAAUCGGCUUAGCCCCUGUUCGGGUGAUCGCCCUGGUGCGGUUCGCGCGGCGUGCCAGCCAAUCUGACCUGUUGAUUGGCAAGGAAAUAAACGUGUCAGUCCCCAAAGGUUGCGAUCGGCUAAGGUUCCGAUCUUGAGAAAGCUUAUCAGCGAAUCGGCCGAUUUGCAGUAAUAAGGAAAUCGGCUAUGAUGCAACCGAUUACCAGGCAACGUUUGUGAAGAAAACUACUAGAUCAAUCUAAACAACGCUACGGUAGCAACACUAGGAACAGAUCUGAUCGGCUAUGCACGAAAUAGGUAGAUUAAAUAGCAAAAUACAAGAAAAGCCGAAAAUACUAAUUCCUAGCUGGAUAACUGGUGAUAAAACUGGAACAACAGGCAAAACCUAGAAUUCUAGUAAGUAUCGAUAACUGGUGAAUAAAUCUAAACGAAACGACAGCGAUGCGCCCGAAGUUAAAGCUUAGAAAUUACUCGAUAAACGGAACUUACAAGAUCAGCCGGAGGUCAAGUUGAUGCAGCCCCGCCAACCCAUACAAACUCGUGAAAAAGGAUAAAAAGUGUUGGUGAAGUCGCCUGCUUGAAAGUAAGUACGAGAAAAAAGUAGUUUGUUGUAUUGAGUUGAUGAUGAUUACAGAUCCAUAAGGGUGGCUAUUUAUAGCCUGUUACAAAGGACUUCUUAUCCGACUAGAACUCUAUCCCUAAAUUUAAACAGAAAAACUUCUUAUCCGACUAGAUCUCUAUCCCUAAGUUUAAACAGAAAACGAAUAUUUACAAGUACGAUUCUUACUAUUUUCACACGCUUGAUGGGCUGACCUCUUCUUCAUCUUCAUAAUCUUUUUUAAGCCCACAUCGGCCCAACUAUUCCAACCUCCUAAUCGGCCGAUCUCCUCUUUUGCAAGGGGGUAACCGAUCAGGACCCACACAUCGAGGGCUCAGACUCAUCCCGACCCUGGGGACUAAGGUCGGACGAGGCGGAGAUCCUCCCUCGGAGGGUCGGGCGCGUCCGAUCCCAAACCCCAAGGGUCGGGCGAGGCAGAGAUCCUCCCUUGGAGGGUCGGGCGCAUCCGAUCCCAAACCUCAGGGGUCGGGCGAGGCGGAGAUCCUCCCUUGGAGGGUCGGGCACGUCCGAUCCCAAGUCUCAGGGGUCGGUCGAGGCGGAAAUCCUCCCCUGGAGGGUCGGGCGCGUCCGAUCGCAAACCUCAGGGGUCGGGCAAGGCGGAACUCCAAGGAUCAAUCGGCCGAUGCUCGACUGCAGCAUCAAUUGGCCGAUCCUCGACUGCAGCAUCAAUUGGCCGAUCCUUGUAUCUCGCCGCAUCUCCUAAUUCCUUCCACUUCCAACGCCGAUUUUACACAUGUCAAAAUCUGGCGUCAACACGUAUGAACCUGGAUUUCGAUUCGACAAAUCACAUUGAUCUUCGCUCGCUACAUCUCAAAUUACGUGUAUCACUUAACUCCGAUGGUGGAAACCCGACCGGUAGGAGUAUAUCGUUACACUACCAUUGCAGCAAGAAUACGAAACCAGGACAUAGAUCAAACUGAAAACUCGCAUAUCUCCAUAUGCACACAUCCCGAAUCCAAAACUAAACAGCUACGGCUCUGAUACCACUGUUGGGAUACGAGGUAGGCUACACUAGCGCAAAUCAAAAUUUUUCUACCGCGUAAACCAGGAAAACUGCCAUAUAAGGAUCAUGAGAUUACCACUCGACGCACUGGUGCGGAAGAUGUGGAUUCGCGUCGAUGCAGCGAAGUCGAUCAGCGUAGUCAUACGUAGUCGAUCACGUCAACGUCCAGCAGCUCCUCAGCAGCUCGUCCACGUGCAGCAAGAUCGCCCUCAUGCCGCAACUCGUCGUCAGCUCAUCGUGGCUCGUCGGCAUCUCAUCGUGGCUCGUCCAAGUGCUGCAGGCGCAACACCUCCAAGGUAUUCACACGUGCAGGGAGGAAGCGUCGCAAGCCGGACUGCUAGGUCUGUGAGUUGCAACAGGCGAGAGCAUGGGAGGCGCAGUAGAUGUGCUUCGCCAAAAAAAUGUAAACCCUAGGGCGCCCCCACCCCUCUAUUAAUAGAGGUUCCUAACGGGCCUCUGGGUCCGAGGCCCGUUAGUACUUCUAAACCUAAUCCAACUCGGAUCAGAUCCGAAUUGGGCUUCCAGCCCCUUAAGUGUGUGACCCUAUGGGUUCGGAUACGUAUAGACAUGGCCCGAGUACUCCUACUCGGCCCAAUAGUCGGUAGCGGCCUCUAGCAAGAUGUGCCAACUCCUAUAUGCACACGAAGAUGAUAUCAGACGAACCAUCACAACAUUAUAUACAUGCUAUUCCCUUUGCCUCAUGAUAUUUGGUCUAGCUUCAAGCCGACCGCUCUUUCUCGAUCCUAUGAUUCGGAAUCCCUUUGUAGGUUAACUCUUAACCGUACGUAGCAUGGCCAUGCAUUUUCGGAUCCGAUGACUCGAGGGGCCCAGAGAUAUCACUCUCAAUCAGAGAGGGGCGAAUCCCAUCUUGAUUGACCAUGUCUCAUAGCAUGCUUCUUGACAAACCCAAAAGCUAACCUUUAUAACUACCUUGUUACGGUGUAGCGUUUGGUAGCCCCUAAGUAAGUCGAUCCACAUCUUGAAUACAUGCGACAAUCUCAGGUCUAAGGACAAAGCGUAUAUGUUGUGUAAAGAGAGAACUACUUCUCGUGUUGGGUCAGUCCUAGCACAUGUCUCCACAUGUGCCCACAUUAUUAGUUCAACAUCUCCAUGUCUAUGACUUGUGAAAUAUAGUCAUCAACUAAUACAUGUGCUAGUCUAAUAUUCGUGUGUGUCCUCACAUGAACUCCGACUAGGGACAACUUUAGAAUAACCAUACAAGUAAAGAGUUUCACAUACAAUUCACAUAAUUGCAAAUGAAUUCAAGUAGCCUUUAAUGGAUAUUCAAGGAACACAAUAAAAAUCAUGGAUAUAAAUGGAAUAUCAUCAUCUCUAUGAUUGCCUCUAGGGCAUACCUCCAACACCAACUUCUAUACCAAAUCUCCUUGGGAGAAUUGCUUGACUUUGACCUUCUUAUCGUACCACCUGGCUACUCUCUUUUUAUUCUCCUCAAUGGUGAUCAGGGCCCUCAAUCGCUAACCUACCAAAUCAUCGAGCUCUCCUUUCAUAAGAAAGGAAUAGUCAUCGGCCGUCCACUGAUGUUGAAGCGAUUUACGUCUUGACCUCGUUCUUAAUUCCCAAGGCAACACUGCUUCGUGACCAUACACCAAUUGAUAAGGGGAUAUCUUAGUAGCCCCGUGGCAGGCCAUCCUGUAAGCGCAUAAAGCUUCGGUCAAACACAAGUGCCACUUUUUAGGCUGUUCCUCAAUCUUCCUUUUGAUCAACUUAACUAUCCCCUUAUUGGAUGAUUUAGCCUGGACGUUAGCCUGAGCAUAAUAUGGAGAAGAAUUUAGCAAUUUAAUUCCCAUAUCGGCAGUGAAUUCCUCGAACUCUCCCGAAGUGAACAUAGUCCCUUGGUCGGUCGUGAUGGUUUGAGAGAUACCGAAAUGAUAGACAAUGUGGUCUCUUACAAAAUCGAUCAUAGCGGCCGAUGUCACGGCCUUUAGUGGGAUCGCCUCCACCCAUUUGGUAAAAUAGUCAAUAGCUACUAAUAUGAACUUAUGUCCCUUGCUUGAUGGUGGAUAAAUCUGACCGAUGAGGUCUAUUCCCCAACCUUUGAACGGCCAUGGCUUGAUUAUCGGAUUCAUGGCCGAUGCGGGCGCAUGUUGUAUAUUUCAAAAUUUUUGACAAUCCUGACACCCUUUAUAAUAUUUGAAGCAGUCUUCAAGGAUCGUCGGCCAAUAGUAUCCAUUAUUCCUAAUCAUCCACUUCAUUUUAUGAGCCGAUUGGUGAGCUCCGCACACGCCCUCGUGGAUUUCUCCCAUCAGGAUCUUUGCUUCUUCUGUCUCCAGGCAUUUGAGCAGAACCCCAUUAAUCAUUCGGUAGAACAAAUCAUCUUCUAGUAACACAUACUUUGUGGCUUGAAAAUGCACUCGCCGAUCCACUUUCUUAGACGGAUCCUUCAAGUAAUCGGCAAUCUCUUUUUGCCAGUCAUCGGCUACGAUUUCCAGAGUUAUGGUGCCUUGAAUCGGCCGAUACCCGGAUGCGUGUUGGGCAAGUGUAUUAGCUUCCUCAUUAUAGUUUCUGGGAAUAUGCUCAAUAACUGUGGACUUGAAUUCCUUUAAAAGCUGGAGGCAAUCCUCGUAGUAAAUCCUUAAGACAUCAUCUUUGCAUUCAGACGUCCCCGUUAAUUGGUCUACGAUGAGCAUGGAAUCCCCAAAAAUUUCCACAGCGUCGGCCUUGAUCUCCCUCAAUAACUGUAUGUCUUUUAAGACGGCUCGGUAUUCCGCCUGAUUAUUGGUCGCUGACACUUCUAUCGGUAGAGAGAAAUCAUAACUUGCCCCCCGAGGCGAUAUGAGAACUAUGCCGAUUCCCGAUCCGGCCCCACAUGAUGAACCAUCAAAGUAUAGGGUCCAUGGGGCCGGCUCAACGACAGUGAUUUCCGGUCUGUAGUGUUGGGCCACAAAAUCGGCCAUGACCUGACCCUUGACUGCUUUGGCCGACUCGUACCUUAAGUCAAAUUCUGACAAAGCCAAAAUCCAUUUUCCAAUCUGCCCUUUCAAAAUUGGCAACGACAGCAUGUAUUUUACUACGUCAUCUUUGCAUACGACUUUGCAUUCUGCCGAUAACAGGUAGUGCCUAAGUUUGGUACAUGAGAAAUAAAGACAUAGGCACAGUCGUUCUACCGGGGAAUAUCUUGUCUCGGCAUCUAGAAGUCUUCUGCUAACAUAAUAUAUUACCCGUUCCUUUCCUUCGAACUCCUGUACCAGCGCCGAUCCAAUAGCCCGUUCAUCAAUUGAUAAGUAUAGUUUGAACGGCUUGUCAGCCCGUGGUGGGACCAGUACAGGUGGCGAGAUUAGAUAUUGCUUGAUGUCUUCUAGCGCUUUUCGUUGUUCUUCUCCCCACACGAACUCUUGGUCGGGUUUCAAUUUCAAUAAUGGCGUGAAGGCUUGAAUACGUCCGGACAGGUUGGAUAUGAAUCUCCUGAGAAAGUUGACUUUGCCAAUUACGGACUGCAACUCAGUUUUAUUUUGUGGGGCCACAACCUUGUUGAUAGCCACUGUGAUUUUGCCAGUUGAUUUCUAUCCCGCGCUCAUGAACCAUGAAUCCCAGAAAUUGUCCGGCCGACACGCCGAAUGCACACUUGUUCGGGUUCAUUUUCAAACCAUGUUUCCUUGUGCACUCCAAUACUUCUCGCAAAUCGGCCAGAUGCUCCUGAUGUCCUUUUGAUUUGACUACAACAUCAUCGAUGUAGAUUUCCACCAGGACGCCAAUGAGUUUGUGGAAGAUGUAAUUCAUAGCGCGCUGAUAUGUAGCGCCGACAUUUUUUAAUCCAAAGGUUAUUACUACCCACUCGAAUAAACUGAGGUGGCCUAGGCACCUGAAAGCCAUUUUUGAAAUGUCUUCUUCGUCCAUUAAUAUCUGAUUUUACCCAGCAUUGCCAUCCAUAAAACUGAUGACUUUAUGUCCUACGGCGACAUCUAUCACCACAUCGGCUGUCGGCAUUGGAUACCCAUCCAAUGGCGUAGCCUGAUUAAGGUUUCUAAAGUCAAUGCACACGCGCAGCUUUCCGUUCUUCUUGUAUACGGGUACAAUGUUAGAGAUCCACUCGGCGUAAAAGCAUUACCGAAUAAAUUUUGCUUCAAUUAGUCUCGUAAUCUCGGCCUUUAUGUCAGGUAGAAUUUUAGGAUUGCACCGUCGUGCGGGCUGCUGAUAUGGCCGAUAUCCCGACUUUAUAGUCAACCGAUGUUCAACAAUGGACCGGUCCAGACCAGGCAUCUCAUGAUAUUCCUAAGCGAAACAAUCUUUAAAUUCUUUCAAUAAAUCUGUCAAUUUACAUUUAUAUUUUGGAUCCAAGUUAGCACUAAUGUACGUCAGCCUUGGUUUGGCGUCAUCACCUAGAUCUAUCAUCUUUAAUGAAUUGGCCGACAUAAACCCAUGCCCUAGCUUCCCAUCUUCUCGGACGAACUGAUCCAUCUAAUCUGAAUCUUCGGAGCCAACUGCUCGGAUCGGCUGUAGGCCAAAAUCGGACACUUUCAGAAAAUUGGUGCCCAAGUUCUUCCAGAUAUGCACUUGAUGUGUUCACAGCUCCACUGUUGCGUAUCGGCUGCAGCAACGCUGUAGGCGGAAUCGGCGGUGACUAUCUCGAUGUUGUCACCGACCCAUUGUAUGAGGCAUUGAUGCAUUGUAGAUGGAAUGCAGCAAUUUGCGUGUAUCCAAUCGCGACCGAGCAACAUAUUGUAGGACCCUUUGCCAUUAAUAAUAAAGAAAGUAGUGGGAAGGGUCUUACUGCCGAUGCUGAGGUUGCGCAAAGCGUCCCGCGGGCAGGAGACAUGUUGCCUUUGAAGUCCUUGACCAUCAUGUCCAUCUUGGUCAGAUCUUCAUCGCUUUUACCCAAUUUCCAGAACAUGGCGUACGGCAUGACGUUGACUGCAGUGCCUCCAUCUACUAGUAGCCUGGUGACAGGUCGUCCAUUGACGUGCCCUUUGAGGAACAUCGCCUUGAGGUGUUGUCGUUUUUCAUCUUCGGGUUUCUCAAAGGUGGCUGCCAUUGGCUCCAAAGCCAAUUGUGCCAUCUGUCCCUCCAUCUCCGACGCGUCAUACCGAUCGGCGGGAGCCAUGAACUCCAUCGGCAAGAUGAACACCAUGCUGACGUUAGUUGCCGAUUCCUGGUUGCCGUCUUCUUCCUUGUCGUUUCUUUUGGGGCGCCAAACCCGAGGUCUAUCAUUUUUCUUAUCCACCAUCUGUUGCUGCUCUUCUUCCUGUUGUUCCCAUUGGCGUAGACGUUGGAUCCUUCAUUUUUGGGAUUUGGUCAAUCCAUCAGGGCACCACCUGGGGUUCACCGGUUUGGCCGUAGUCUGGUGCGCUCCCAUUCUGGCUCCCAUCCCAGGGGAUUUUCAUCUGAUACCCGAGCAUCGGCCAUCUCUUGUAACCGAUCGUAUGCGCUGACUCUGCCCCCUGGUCGGUCGUGCUGGUCAGUCCUACCCCCCGACCUAUCGUAUCGCUCAUGUCUGUCCUUUGGCCGAUCAUAUCGGUCACUUCUGCCCCCCCAGCCGAUCACGCACCGAAAGGCGCCGAUCCUCUUGCUCGCGCCAGUUUCUGUUGAUUAGCUCUGAUCCCUUGUCCCUGGAGCGAGAUCUCCUGAAAGGGCAAUUGUUGCGAUAUGGACCACUACACUCUGGGCAAUUAUCAGCUGAUGGCAACCUAAGGUUAUUUUCCCAGCAAUGGAUGAAGAACGGGCAUUGCCAAUGAUCUUCGUGUCGUCGCAUCAUUUCUUCGCGAUAUCUUGAACUUUCCUGCUGCCGUUGGUAUUUGUUGAGCAAGAAUUGGGAAGUGAUGGGUCUGCGCGGUCCUUCCGAUCCUUCGCUCUCAUCAUCCAUCUGUCUCUUCCCCUUGACGUCUUCGACCGUAGCUUGAUUCCUGGGGUCCACAGCGCCGCUCUUUUUAGCCGAUUCCGAUGUCAGCACUUUGGUUUGUAGCACGUUUCUCCCCGUAUCAACCAUGUUGGUGGGGAAAGGAUGCUGAUCAAUUUUCAUUGGCUUUGCUGGCUUCGUCGGGAUCUCAAACUUGAGCUUGCCUUGCUCGAUGGCCAAUUGUAUCUGCUGAUGGAAGAUCUUGCACUCGUUUGUGUCGUGGGACGUGGCGUUGUGCCAUUUGCAAUACUUCAUCUUUUUCAGCUGCUCGGCCGAUGGGAUCGUAUGAUAGGGUGAGAGCUUGAUCUGCCCUUCUUGGAGGAGUAGGUCAAAAAUUUUGUCGGCCUUUGACGUAUCAAAACCGAACGCCUCUGGUUCGUUUUUCCCGAAAGGACACGAUAUCGGCUUCUUCCCCUUAACCCACUCUGCUAGGCCGAUUUCCGCCUCCUCCUCGGAUUCAGAUCCCUCCAGAUAUGCCACCUUCUUCUGAAAAUUUCUCCGCUGAUCAAAGGGGCGUACUUCCUGACCGGACAAUCGGUGAACGAUUUGACUCAAGCUUUCAAACUCCUGGGAAGUGUACUUCUCUUUGAUGUGCAGUAGGAGACCUUGGAAGGCAAUAUCGACCAGCUGCGCAUCGGUCAGGAUAGGGUGUAGCACUUGUUUCGGACCUCUCUGAACCUCUGCACAUAAGUGGACACUAGCUCGUCGCUCCUUUGCCUGAGGCUGGUCAGACCUGAGAGCUUCAUCUCAUGCACUCCCACGUAGAAGUACUUAUGGAACUGCUUCUCCAAGUCGACCCAAGUAACUAUGGAGUUGGGUGGCAGCUUGGUGAACAACUGGAAAGCCGACCCGGACAGGGAUGAUGAGAAUAGCCGCACGCGCAGAGCCUCCUGUGUAGCCCCUUCUCCGCAUUGGAUGAUGAAUCUGUUCACGUGUUCCACAGUUGAGGUGUCAUUGAGCCCCGAAAACUUGGUGAAGUCGGGAACUUUGUACCGAUGGGGAAACGGCAGUAGAUCAUAGGCCGAUGGGUAUGGCGUUCUGUACGUGUAAGUCUGUACUUUUGGUUUUAAACCGAACUGGUCUUGGAUCACCUCUGCUAUCCUUGUUGUCCAGUCUAAUUGCUGCUGAUGAAUUACCGGCUGGGGAGCCGGUAUAUGUUGGUGGAUCGGCGGCGGGAUGACCGGAUGAUGAACAAAAGUGUGCAGCGGAUUUUGCGGUAACGUGGCCAGCUGAGUGGUCGGCAUCUGGUGGCGUAGUGAACCGGCCGCCUCAUCGUAUAGUAUCAUCGGCACCGCACCCUGGAGCGCCUUAGCAGUAUCUACCCCCCUGCUGAUUUCUGACAUGGCAGGUUGAUACUGUGGAACCGUCGGCCGGACGGCCGACUGGAAUGGUGCCUAGAUCGGGGAGCUUCCGUAGCCAGCCGAUUGAUCUAGCACGGCUGCUGUCGACGGUGGCCCCCAAGGCACUAAGUUUGAUGGCAAUGAUUGCGUAGAGGAAAUCUGAGGAGGCUGAGGUGGCGCUUGUGACUGGAAGCAUGGCGCACCGUUGUAUCCUGGGUGCACUGGCAGCAAAGAAGCGCUGGGUCCUCCAUGUUGAGCUUGCAUCGGCUAAGGAGCCGAGUGAGAUGUGCUUGGAAAACUCCUGACUGGGGCCGUAAUGGGUGGGGCGUAUUCUAGUCCCUGAUAUCCUUGAAAUACGCCAUUGGCUAGGGAGCUGAUGACGGCAUUGUAUACCAUGUUGGUUAUCAUCGGGGAUUGGUCGAUGAAAGCCUAGUAGACGGACUGCUGAACCAUAUCGGACAUUUUGUCCGAGUCCUCAGUGAUGGUGAUCUAACGGGGAGCUGGGAAAGGAGCUUUCCUGGCGGUCUCCCCACUCCUGGUACGACUAAAAGAUUGUAGGCAUGUUUUUCUGUAUUGUUCCACUUGCUUUGCCAACUCUUCUUUCUGGUCGUCCUUGAGGUUUGCUUCCGUCACUUCGAUGACAUUGUCUUCGGAGAUUUCGGCAGCUUUCGACAUGGUAGAGGUUGAAGUGGUCCCACUAGGCGUGCCAAAAGUGUGUUGGCGCUAAAAAGUCAGUCAAUUGACCCUUAGCGUCGGACACAUGACUCGGGAGAAUCUGCUUAACUCCUGUUCGGGUGAUCGCCCUGGUGCGGUUUGCGCGGCGUGCCAGCCAAUCUGACCUGUUGAUUGGCAAGGAGUAAAACGUGUCAAAUUCCAGGAGUUGCGAUCGGCUAAGGUUCCGAUCUCGAGGAAGCGUAUCAGCGAAUCGGCCGAUUUGCUAUAAAAAGAUAAUCGGCUAUGAUACAGCCGACAACCACGCAACGAUUAUAAAGAAAACCACUAGAGUAAACUAGACAACGUCAUAGGAGCAACACUUGAAAUAGAUCUAAUAGGCUAUAUAAGGAUAGUGAAUGAAAAUAACAAUAAUAAAGAUAGCUCAAAUCUCAAGCUGGAUAACUGGUGAUAAAACUAGAACAACAGGAAAACCUAUAAUUCUAGUAAAUAUCAAUAACUGGUGAAUAAAUCUAAACGAAAUGACAGCGAUGCGCCCGAAAUUAAAGCUUAGAUAUUACUCGAUAAACGGAACUUACAGAAUCGGCCGGAGAUCGUGUCGAUGCAGUCCUGCCAACCCGUAUGAACUCGUGAAAGAAGAAAAGUAUUGGUGAAGUCACCGACUUGAAAGUAAAGUACGAGGAAAUAGUAGAUUGUUGUAUUGAUUGAUGUGUUGUUUACAGAUCUCUAAAGAUGGCUAUUUAUAGCCUGUUACAACCAAUUCCUAAUCGACUAGGAUCUAUCUCUAAUUUUAAAUGAAAAAUAAAUAUUUACAAGUACAACUCGUAUCGGAGAUGGUUAUUGUACUUCCACGGGCCAAUCCCCCUUCAUCUUCUCUUUCUACUCCACUUUAAGCCCAUAUUGGCCCAA
rnacentral:lncRNA from 1 species